UCCUGUAUAAGGUGCAACGGACAUUACAUUCCGUGCGAGACAAAUAGUAGUACAACUCAUAAUAACUAAAAAAAAAGUGCUCUGCAACUGUCAAACAACACUAAUGUUCAAACAAUCGCUACCAAUAAUCACUUAUCUAGUUCAAACAUGGGCCUAAUUCAGUAAAUUUUGCUCACCCCGAACUGCCACUUAAUCUGCAAGUGUAUUGAAAUCAAACUGCGAAACUGCCUAACCAUAUCUGAAUCUACAGCAAAGCUAUUAUUGUACCAGUCUGUAUUGCAAUGGUGAAUUAAGCUUAAGGCAUACCACAACAUCAUCCAGUCUGUAUUACAAUGGUGAAUUAAGCAUAAGGCAUACCACAACAUCAUCCAGUCUGUAUUGCAAUGGUGAAUUAAGCAUAAGGUACCUUAUUAUUAACUCAAAAUCACACCCCAGACCCCCAGUUGUUACCGUAGCAGAUCGGAAGCUCCUACGCACCAAUUACCUUGCACGUGGUGAACUCCAUGGACCUGUACUUCUCGUUCUCGGAGAAGAUGCGGGAAUGGAGCAUGGGCGUGUACGCCGCGUCGGCGCCGUAGCGGCGGCACAGCAUGCGGAAGGGGAGCUCGGAGUUGUCCACCAUAGGGGCCACCAGCAGCCGCGGGGACCCCAGCCGUCUCCAGUGCGCCCAUGCGCGCUCCACCCGCUCCUCCGCGGACACCGGCGGCGGCGGGAGCGGCGGAGCCAGCGCGAGGUCCUCCGCUUCUGACCCCGCGGCGCUCGCGCAGAGGUCCUCGUCGGGGUCGGCGGCCGUGGCCAGGUGAGCGGCGGCCGGGGACAUGGUGGCGGGGCUAGGGUUUUGGGAGGAGCGCAGGCGGCGGCGCGGGCUCGCUAGGAGAGGCGCGAGGCGGCGCAGUGGCAUGCGGUUACGGUGGCUCCUCGGAUGUGGGCUGGGUUGGGUCGGGAUUUUGUCUUUGGGGACACGUCCGGUUAGACACGACUAGCCUGCUUUUAAGUGGAUUUGAAUGCAGUUUUGUUUUUUUAAAAAAAAUAUUGUAACUAUUUGGAACGGAGGAAGUAAGUUUUUUAAACCACAGAGAAUAUCUUUAAGUUUUACAAAGUUUCAAAAAGAAAGAAAUAGAUUGGGAUACAACAAAUCCAAAUUAAGUAUUUAGAUCUCACGAAAAUAUAUCUACCACCUUUCAAAAUUUAAAUUUAGCUCUAUAAAAAAUAUUUUUAAAAUGUCUAUAAAAUUCCCAUAGCAUUCUAAUUGAUGUCUAAAUGCAUUUGGCAAACUGUCCACAACAAAAAAAAAUGUAAGACACAACAAUGCAUAGCAUUAAUGUAUGUUGCAUCUAUGCUGAUUGCAUCUCAUAUUUCUGUCAUGAGAAGUUUUUAAAACACAUUUAAACAUUGAUUAGAAUGUUGGAGGGAUUUCCUAGUUCUUUCUAGAUACCUUUUCCAUUUUUCAAGAGCUAAACCUAAUUUUCAAUCUCUAAAUAUUUUAUUUAAUCUUAAUCUACCUUUAUUAUUUUAUUGGAAAUGUUAGAAUCUUAGAGACAUUUGAUGUGGUUUAAAAACCUUAUUAAGUAUUUAUCGAAUUUUUAACCAAAAGACACAAAACCGAUAGUUAAACAAUUGCGAUUAAAAUUGACUUUUUCCCUUUGUAAAGAAGUUAAAUGUUAUAGCCCAUCUCAGAUUCGUGUUUUUUUUAAGAGUACACAGGAGGAAUAGCUUUUGAAGCGUGGCUCGAUAUGAAAGGCGAACUAAAUUCGCCCAGGCUUCUAAAGAAAAGCGAUUCCUUCUUUUUUAAAAGAAAGAGAAGAAAGACAGGUGAUUCUAAAGUCCCAGACUGCACCUCACUCCGGCUUUCAGUUCCAUCCAUCCAGCCAUUUUUUUCUGGUACACGAAAGCGAGGGCACUUUCUUUUGUGCACACAUCACCGCCGUUGGAACCAAACCCAUCUGGGCCCGUUCACAAAGACGUUACUCCUACCUUUGAAUUCUCACGGCAAGGGUCUCCUGAUCUCAUCUCCUGGCAGCAAAACACAGCCAAGCGAGGCACAUCUGCACAAAGAGCGCUAUCGAGGUCGACACUAGGCCAACAGAAAUUACAUGAAGCAUUAAAUAUAGAUAAAGAAAAUAACUAAUUACACAUUUUGCUUAUAAUUUGUGAGACACUAAUUGACAUGGUUGGCCAAAUACAAACAAAAGUGCUGCAAUAUUAAAAUCCAAAAACGUUUUGGAUCUAAACCAGACCUCAGUCUAUCACGCCACAGACGAUUUCCCUGUGAUGUCAGCUGCAACGCCAGAUCCAGGAUAAAAAUCCACCUAUCUCGGCAACGGCAGAUGUGUACUGCAUGCUUCAGUUAGGUUAGAAUCGAAUGAAGUGGUUAUUGCUACUCCCGUGCAAGCAACAGCCUCUGCGUGACGAGCUGCACGAGAAGCAUAUUUUCUAUGUGCUUCACAGUACCAUUGAAAAGCAGGAGAGCAAGAGCAGGCGCAGCACAAAACGGCCAAAUCAUUUCAAGUGAAAAAACGAUCUAGACAUACUGACAUCGCAACUACAUCUCGGGGGUCAGAAGUUAUCACUCAACCAAACUUGUUAAAGAGGAGCCCUAGGAAAAAAAAAACAAUACGAUUCUAAAAGAAAUUACUACUGCACAACAUACAGAACAAUGACCAGUCGACUAACUAACUUCAGCAACCGGUCUGGUGCAGUCUUCCCAUAGUCUGGUGUAGGGUCUGAAUGCACGCACAAACUGCAAGGGUCCCAGGGCUCAUAAGGAUUUCCCAAGCUCAGAGGAUGGCAGGUCCUAGACAUUCAUAACAUCUGAGGAAACAAGGGAAAACAAAGGGAAGGAAAUAAGUUACACGGCGAAAAACUGCAGAAAAUGCAGCUAUUACAUAGCAAAGUAAAGUGCAAUAUUCUCUGAUGAAUAAGAAAAAAGAGCUUUUUGUUCAAAAGUUAGGGAACAGAAAAAUUGAAUAGUAUACUUGUUAUUGUCCCACAGCACCAUAUGCACGCAGUACGGCAACCUGAACCAUGACUAGCGAACCAUAUAGAUAAACUAAUGGGAGAAAUCAAUAGACUUUGAAGCAUUCGGGUGCUUCAUUUCAGAAAAAAAAAAUCCCAUUUAUCCAAAGUGGAAUAUGCCUGCAAUUUUCAUCAUUUCAAUAUAUACAACCCAGGUUCACUGCAUAGUCAAAUACUAUAUGUGGAUGCGUGCAGAGUUCAAGCAUCUAAAAACAGCAUAAAUCCAUUAUUUUAUGUUUCCAACUAAACAUUGUCUUCAGUUAAAGAACAAAUCUCAUGCCUUUGCUAUUUACAAGUGCCAAGCACAUAAAUGUUAGCAUAGCAAAAAAAAAAAAAAGCUAUAUAUCAAGCAUACCAGCAUCUAAAAUAUAACACAUUGAUGAGUCCAAUAAAGUUCAAUUUAUUCACUGUGGCUCCAAAAGAUGGUAAUGAAUCUCAGUAGAUUCAGCAGAGUACACAUAUUACAAUGUGCAUUGAAAUGCUACAUGUAAGAUUUUUAAUGCAGAAGUGCGGCUCUGGCCUAAAAAGCCCAUCACAACUAGCAUGGGAGUUUGUGAGUUUAGUACAUGUUCUGAUGAGUACAUUCCCAUCCAACAUUACUUGUUUGGAAAACAAAUAGAGAUCUACAAUGUUGUCUCGAACAUCAUAUACUUGCUGGUGUGGUACGACCACACGACAAUAAAGUGGGGAUGGUGAUAUCUUUUUCAUCCUCCAGACCAAAUGGACGUGAAUAUGUAAGAAGUAUGGCAAGAACAAUGAGUAUGCAUGCUGAGAAAGGAAAACACAAAGAAGUGGGAGUACACACCUAAUGGCAUAUUACUGAAUCCAAUAUACAGAACAUCAUUUUUUGAAAGGGUCAUACAGCACAUCAUCAUCACUGGGAAAUGGGAAUCACCUGAAGAAAUGGAUCACAUAGGCCUUGUUUAGAUGCGAAAUUUUUUUGGAUUUCGCUACGGUAGCACUUUCGUUUGUUUGUGACAAAUAUUGUCCAAUCAUAGACUAACUAGAGUCAAAAGAUUCGCCUCGUGAUUUACAGGUAAACUGUGUAAUUAGUUUUUGUUUUCGUCUAUAUUUAAUAUUUCAUACAUGUGCCGCAAGAUUCGAUGUGACGGGGAAUCUUGAAAACUUUUUGGUUUUUGGGGUGAACUAAACAAGGCCUAAUGCAAUGUUACCGACUGCAGUCAAGAAGAACAGCAACAGUUGCAAGUAAUAACAAACAACAAUAGACAUGAGCAUGAAUUUUGCCUUGAACAUAUGAAGAGUUCAAGAUCAGAAUCGAACUCCUAGCAUUAUUAGACAGUAAGUGAUCUACUAACAAUUUACUUGCCAAUCAUAAUGCUUUGCUUGAUGCUCUUAUAAAAGAAAAUGAUUUGCUCAAUGCAAGAAGAAUAAAGACAGGUAUCUAAAUAAAAUAGCAUUCUUACCUGUGCAUUCACAGCAUCCUUUCCAGUACACCAAUUUCGAAAAUCUGGUGUGACAGUUGAAGAAGAAGCUGCUUGUGUGUUAGUCUGAAGAUUGUCAGGAAAACUUGAGGCUUGCUAGUCUUGAGAACACAUAUGUUCUUGUAGAACAUUAUCCGUGUAUUUAUGUGAAGUAUCACUUCUGUACAGCAAACAUGUCCAGGUGUCAUGGAUUUUCCUCCCCCUCAAGACUACCAUAGAAAGAAUCUAAAAAAAAACUUACAUGGAUUCUAGAUAUUCUCCUGUAUUUCUGCUGGCAGACUGCUGUGCAUAAUCAUCUUCCAGAUCAAUUACAGGGAUUGUUCGCCCAUUGCCCAUAUUGUGAACUCUAGCUUGUCCAUCUGCAGCCUCAUCUAAAAUAAUUUGCCCAUCCUUCAAAUGGUGUAUAUCUCCUGCAUGUUGGUCUGCAUCAUUAUUCAGAAGUAUUUGCUUGCUGCUCAGAUAGUAGUCAUCCAAAUCAUGAGAACCCAAAGGAAAAGCCAUCGGAUUUGGCUCCAUUUGGUGAUGAUCAUCUGCACCAUGACCUAGCAGCAACUGUUCAUCCUUCACAUGGUGACUAUCCAGAACUUGAACAGUAUUGACUUGAUCUAUAAGCAUCUGCUCGUUCUCCAUCUGUUGCUCAUCCACAUUUUGCUUUAGAAGCAUUUUCUCACUGUUCAUAUGGCAAUUAUCUGAAGUAUGCGCAACCAUACUAUGACUUAGAAGUAUCUCUGCACUGUUCACCAGGUGAUUAUCAUCUGCAUGCUCACCAGCCUCAUUGUUCACAUCAUACUUCGUCAAAUCAUGCCCAUCCUCCAGUAGGUGAUUAUCCUCUGCAUUCUUGUCUUGAACUUGAUUUUCUGAAGUAUCAUCCUGUGCAUGUUCAUCAACUUCGUUGUUCAAAUCAUAGUUACUCAAAUCAGACUCAUCCUCCAACAUUUGAUUGGUCCCUGCAUGAUCAUCUUGACCUUGAAUUUUUGAAGUAUCAUCGUUUGCUUGUUGGUUCGCCUGACCAACUAAAUCAGGCACAGAAUCACAAAGAUCGUCUGCUGGAUGACCGCAAGAGAUCUCGGAAACCUCACAGCCCACUGGAGUUUCAAUAACAUUCAGAUCGAAAAUUUUGUACCAGGCUGGCAGCUCAUGCUCAUCCCUACUGAGAUCACCGACAACAGUUUCAACUUCCGUUUGUGGAGUCUCUGUUUCAUAUCUUAAUUCAGAAUAACCAUCGGUCACCAUCAAUUGUUGCGCUUGGUCAUCUCCAAGACCACCAACACCAGUUUUGACCUCACCUUGCGGAGCCUUCAUGUCAUACCUUACUUCAGAGCAAUUAUUAUUCUCUGCCAAUAGUUGCUCUUGUUCAUCUCUAACAAGAUUACCAACACCAGUUUCCAAUUCACUCUGUGGAGCCUCCAUCUCAUACUUUACUUCAGAGCAACCAUUAUCCUCUGUCAAUGGUUGCUCUUGUUCAUCUCUAUAAAGAUCACCAACAGCAGUUUCAGCUCCAGCUUGUGGAGCUUCCAUUUCAUACCUUGUUUCAGAGCAAACAUUGUUCUCUGCCAAUGGCUCUAACAUACAUGCAUCCAUGUGUGCAAUGCCAGUUUCCAUUCCCUCAGUAUUGCUGAGCUGGGACUGUCUAUGGACAGGUUCGUCAAUAGAUUCAGAUAUAUGAACAUGCACAUCAGACGGUUUGCUCUGGGUGUCAUCCAUUUCAUCACCAUCUUCAUCAUUCAAGUCAGAGGCUGCAAACUCACCAUCUUCGUCUUCAGAAAUCUCUUCUGCAAACUCACCAUCCUCACCUUCAGACAUGUCUUGAGCAUGAUCCAGUCCAGCAGUCUCUGACUCCACCUGCUUAUCUUCAAUAGCCACAGCUUCAACAGCACCGUCAUUCAUCUCCAUGACCACCACUGAACUAGGAACCUUCAGCUGUCUUGGUAUUUCAUCGACAUCCGCAUUGUGCACGCCUCCAUCGCCACGAGCAGCAGGAACAACACCAGAGUCUGGCACCUUGGAGCGAUCCAAAUCGCGAGUGCCUGCCCGCAAAUCUGGAUCUCUCCUGUUGCCACUGUAGUAGCUCCUUGUCCUGCUCCUGCUCCUGCUUCUGCUUCUGCUUCUCCUCCUUCGAUCUACUCUGCCAUCAGCCAAAGCCCGGCGAUCGUUAUGCGAAUAGGACCUUGACAUUGGUGGUCUCUUCGGCUCAUUGUAAUCACGUGGCCGGCGGCCGCCCCGGUCAGCAUCACCGCCAACGGCAUCGUUGUACUUGCGCCUCCCGUCAAAGCUGUGGCUCCUCCGGUCCCACCCCGACCUCUUGGCUUCCCUGUCGUCGUCCCACUUUGAGACACGGCCCAGGUCCCCGGCUCCACUUCCACUCCGCCGCCACCUCGAGCCGUCGUCCUCGUCUCUCUUCCUCCCGAAGCUGGAGGGAGGCGGAGGCGGAGCCGGAGCAGGAGCGGGAGCGGGAACGGGAACGGGGGGCUCCGGGCGGUAACUGGUAUUGUGAUUUGGGUCCUCCCUUGCCAGGAGAACGUGCUCGGGGAGGAGUCCUUUGGCGACCAAGUAGUGAGCGGCCAGGCGGCCGGCCUCGAGCAGGAUGUCGCCGCGCGAACGCCUCUCGGCUGCAGCGGCGGCGGCGGCCGCGAAGCCGUUGGGGAGGGGAUUCGGAUUCUCCUCGUAUCGCCGCGGCGGCGGCAGCUCGGAGCUGCGCCUCUUCGGCUGGGGAGGGGGCGGGUCACGCGGGCGGCGCUGGUGGCGCGGUGACGGCGGGGCCGGGGAUCGGCGACGGUAGCGUCCUCCCGGCGGCGGCGGCGGGUCACGGCCCCGAAUGCGGGACCUCGGCUGCAUGGAUUCUCUCCGGCCCCUGGCCCGGAGGAGCUGCGCGUUCGGUGUGUCUGGUUAAAUCCGGCGGGGCUCUGCCUCUCCCUUUUUCUGGGCGGUGCGAUCGAGCAGCCAAGCCCCGCGUCCGUUCAGUGGCGUGCGUUCGGAGGCCGGCGAGUCGCAGAUCCGGAGUCGGCGCGUCCUUUCGUGGUCCCCGCCAGCGGCGGCGGUGGCGGCGGCGCGCUUGGGGUCCCGGAGGCGGCGACGAGAUUUGGUGCUGCGGCUGUGUGCGAGGGUUUGGUUGCGAGUGGAGAAGGGGGCCGACGACACAGAUAAGAGGAAGGAGAGGACAGAGCAGCGGCCGGAGUGUGCCUCGGCCUCCUGUUUUUACUUUUUACUGCUGGAUCCACUACCACCAGCCCACCCUCCCAUUUUUACUGCGGGUCUUUAGUGUCGGAGAAAAAAGAAAAAAAACAUACAUAUUCCCUCUGUCUUGUCAUAAAAUACGUAUGUAUCAAACUUUCGACUAGAUUUAUAAAAAUAUAUAUAACAUUUAUAUCUCUAAAUUAAUUUAUUAUAAAAUAUAUUCAAUGAUCUAUCUAAUGAUAUCAAUUAUAUAUUAUAAAUAUUCAUAUUUUUUAUAUAUAAUUGAUUAAGGUUAAAGAAAUAAUUUCUAAGGAAGCAAGAACGACUUCUAUUUUGACACAAAAGAAGUAUAUAAAAUUUUCAACUUAACCUACAUCUUUUAUACCUUUUACAUAUUUUUCUUUCUAUGUUAUUGUUGGUGUAUCAAGAACCAAGAACCAUCUAUACGGGCAUGUUUGGUUGCUCGCAUAUGUGUAGCCUGGUCCUUAUCCAUGGGCCUGGCUCACCUUAGUCAGGCUGACCACAUGCAUGCUCUUCAAAUCACUUAAUAUUCACUAAUUAUAUGCUAAUAACAUCAUUAGCUACACUAAACCUGCAUGUCGUGAGCCUAGCUCGCUGGAUACGACUAAUUCUGGCGUUCUUUUUGAGCCUGGCUUAGAGGCCUUCUUUGCAUGCGAUGGGCCUGGCUCGGCGGUGCAUACAGGUAACCAAACACGGUGAAGCUGCAUACGACGGGCCUAGCUGGAGGGCAUGCGGGCAACCAAACGCCCCCUAAGUUUCUGUUGCUGUAUCAAGAACGCUAUUGUGUUGAUAGUAUAACAGCCAACAUAAAACAACAAAAAAAACAUAUAUAAUUAUAGAUUUAAGAGAUAUACUUUAUACUUUCUUUGUAUACUUUUUCUUUCUAUAAAUCUAAAAGUUCCUAGGUAUGUUGAAACAAGAAAUGCUUUAUAGUUUAUGAACAUUUGUUGUGCAUAUGAGGAUUCUUUUUUGCUGUGAGGGUUUGCCUGCGGAUGAGGAGACCUAACACAUGUGAAGUACAAAAGUAUGUGCCUCUUCUACUUUUUACUACUAGUGUAUCUAGUGCCACUCUGAUAUUACUAUUACUUGUAUCAACAUAGGAUCCAUUGUUUUAAACAUAAAAUCAUAUGUAAAAUUGAAGAUUUAAUGGCCAAUAUACGCGUAUAAUAGAUUAUAAAUAAUUGUCUUUCAUAUACCACCGCAUCCUAUAUGUCUCAUGUAUAAGGUACUCUUAUUUAUAUUUCUCUCUCUCUCAUGUUUAGAGUGGUAGAGGAGUUAUGUCUCUCAUGUAUUAUCAUGCAUAAAAAAAUUGGUUCCUCGAUCUUUUUCUGCUUGGUUCAAGUUUUUGAUGCCUCUCUCAUCUACAAGACACUAUAUAUAUCAGCUUAGAUUUGGCCAUCGGAUAUUUCUAAGUAUUAGUUAUAAUAGUGGAUAAAUAAAAUCCAAAACUCCUUCGCUUUGUAGAUAAAUGGAAUAGGUGAAAUUUCGUCGACAACAAGAUACACGUAUAAUAGUCCUGUGAAGCUAAUAUUUUGUUGAGGUUAAUAAUAGGUGUGAAUGUUGUGUGUGCCCUAGUCUACCUUUUGUAGAUGUUUGUAAAAAAAAUGGACAGGGCAAGGUAUUGCUGGAAGAAAACCACAGUGUGAUGGGAAAUUUGGUUUGUCCUUGAUCGCUAGUCUAUAGUGUAUAUACAAUACGAGUACUAUAAGAUUUAUUUUACAAGAAAUGGGCAAAGCAACCGGACCUAUGGCUCUAUGGACAUAGAGCUUCCACAUUCGGGCAUCGUCUAAGGGCGUAUUUGGCUAGACUUCUUUGCUUCUUACACCUCGUUAUUGUACCAGAGAAGUUGGAGCCAGAGGAGCUACAAAUCGUGGCUCCUCUCGGCUUUCAGGAGAGACAAAAACGGCUCUCAUGAACAGGACGGCUCUCAUGAACAGGACUGCUAUAGUACUAGAAGGAGACGAAGUCACGAGAAAUCAUACCAAACACGCUCUAACAUCUGUGUCAUGCCAUGUGUUCAGCGUCUGCGCGUGUCCGCUGAAAGCAAAAGGGAAAAGAAAUGGAGAAGACCUGAGUUUUUUUUUUGGGUGGAUUGAAAAGACCCGAGGUGGCAUGUAUGGGCACUGCUGGGCUUCCCACUAUGCACGGCCCAAAACGGCUUCCCUUUGAUGAUGAGUUGAACGAAAGAAGAAAUGAGGAAUGUCUCAGGAGGAUGAUGGUACACUCCAAAGCUUCCAACUUGCAAGUUCCAAGCCGUCCAUUUUAUUCGGCUCUUUCCGCUACGCAAAAGCCAAAUAAAGCGUUUCAAGGGUGUUUUCGUCACUACCGGUGUAGGUUCUUCCUCAUCUGUAUGUACUAAUGUCAUGAGUUGGCAACCAAGAAGUAAAUAUAUGAAAAAAAACGCAUCUCACAUAAUAGGCUGACAAAUAAAAUUUGCCAAACAGACAUCUUGACACAUGUUGCAGGAAAACACAUUGGGCAUGUGCUAACGGACGCAUGACAGUGACACUGCAGAGAACCUUAGUGGGAUGGAUGGAGAAUAGAACAAACAUAUAACUGCAACAAGGUGCCAAAAAAACUUUCAUGGAAGGACAAGGAGAACAGCAUGCAUAAACUCCUAUGUAGAUCAGAGCUCUACUAUGAACCACACAAUAUGGCGUACUUUAAUUUCCUGGUCCUCACCUUUAACCUGGCCCGUCCUGCACAACAGAAAUGGCAGGAUAUAUGCAGCAUUUGCACUUGUGUAUUUCAAAUGUCCAAAACCAAGUCAAACAUACAUGGUGGUUGCCAAAAUGAUAAUUUGGUAAAAGGAGUCUAAAAGAUGCACCAGCUAGACUGCCAAUGAAAACGUUCCAAUUCAACAAUGAAAGCACAAGCUCUGAGAUGGAGUAUGGUUGCUUGAAUUCUCUGUUUGUGUUUGAUCCUGAAGACCUGAAACCCUUCACAUUGUUACCGCACACAAGAAAAGGGGUUGCAACUUGCAAGAACACGGUAUGUAUGUAAUUGCAUAUUCAUGAAGGAACUAGUACAAAUUCUGAGUGCUGAUCAUCUGGUCAGAAAAGAAAAUAUUAUCUAUACACCUGGCAUUAUUAUGGUGGAAAUAUAUAUAAGAAUCUUUGAUGAAAGUUAAUAAUAGCAACAAACACAUUUGAUGCAAUACAAGCCAGUGUCAGUCCACCACACAGCGACUAAAACUAGGACAUGAUUCAAUCAAGGGACAAAUUGAGCAAAUGACGCUUCAAGGAGUUUACGAAUUGGCUGCUGAUUUUGACACUGGUUUGCAAUCAGCUCCAUGGGCCUCGAGGUGAGGCAUGGCGGCCCGCAAUGGAGGGAGGGAGGGAGGGAUGCGGCCUCUUUCUCUUUGGGAGGACGGGCCCAUAAGUCUGGAGGCCUACUUUGGUGUGCCCGUGCGAUGCUGUGAGUUUUCGAGUGGGGGCCCACACCGUCCUGGGCUUGAUACAUACUACUGAGUACCUUGGCUCGGCCCAACCAAAAAAAGUUAAGCCCAUUCUCUAAAAUAACAUGACAAUACGUAGAAACAGGAGAGUGAUUUUCCCUUUUAUCAAGAGAGAGAGAGAGAUUGAUUUCUGUAAAGAAGAAAACGCAAUAGGAUCUUGUUGGACUUGCGUGCGUGGCCACGCUUAGGCCUUGUUUAGUUUACAAUUUUUUUUGUUUUUGGCUACCGUAGUAUUUUGUUUUUAUUUGACAAACAUUGUCCAAUCACGGAGUAACUAGGCUUAAAAGAUUCAUCUCACAAAUUACAGAUAAACUGUGCAGUUAGUUUUUAUUUUUGUCUAUAUUUAAUGCUCUAUGCAUACGACUAAAGAUUUGAUGUGACGAAGAAUUUUGAAAAUUUUUGCGAACGCCGUUAGGUAGGCGAGCGAGCACGUUAUGAGCGCCUGCUCACUUCCCGUGAUGAAAAAAAAGACAAAAUGUUUUUUUUCAGAUCGAUGGGACAGCAAUUGCGUUUUCUAUUGUGAGGAUAAGUUAAUAAUGUAACAUUUGGUAGGGCCAUGUAUACCUACCACUGCACUACCACAUUACAAUUCAGAGAUUAGACAGUCGAUGGGAUUGUUUUGUAUUAUUAAUAAGGCUUUAUUUUUUAAUUUUGAUACUGCAGUAGUUUCGUUUUUAUUUGAUAUACAUUGUCCAAUCAUAAAGAUUUACAGACAAAUUGUGUAAUCAAUUUUUAUUUUUAUUUAUAUUUAAUACUCCAUACAUGUAUUGCAAGAUUCGAUAUGACGAGAAUUUUUUUUAAAAAAUUGUUUUUGGAGUGAACUAAACAAGACCUAAACCAACUAGGAUGUCCAGCUAGUACCAAAUACUCCAGCUGCACCUGCAUGGUGAUCUACACAGCUCUAGCAGUCAUGUCCAACAAAGCUGACAUACAAUGCUCCUAGUACAAUUCUAGUAACAUCCAUCUGGGGAAUAAUUCUGCGGUCUCGAGACGAUGAAGAUAAUAGCAACUUGGAGCUAGCAGAAUAAUAGUACUACACCACACAAACACACACACACAUGAAUAAUACUCCUGCAUCAUUGCCCAAGUUGCGUUGUACUGGGGCAUCUCAUCUCAUCUCAAUUCUCAUCAAGCAGCAGCUGAAAAACCUACUCUAAUCUACUCUACUCAUGCAUCAAGUGCCCAUAUAUAUAUAUAUGACAAACUAUUCCUCGGCUUCGUCGAUCCCGCUUGCGAUGUGAUCGGGAUCAUCAUCUGAAUCUUUCGGUUGAUGACGACGAUGGAGACUACCUAGCUAGAGCUGUUGUUGGCCCUGCUCGCAUCUGCCUUUUCUAGCUUGCAUGAUCGAAGUCAUGAAACACUCAAGUCCCACGCAUCACAUCCCCACUCAAGUUGACAUGAAACACGCCGAAACGGUGCCACGAGCUAUACUGUUUGUGUCCUCCGUCAAAUCGUCGUAUUUGAGUUAUAUUAGUUGGAUCGUUUCGAUCGAGUUAAAGCAAGUAGUGGUGCGAGUUGUGAUAGUCGUCUGGAUAUUGUACUAGAGUCGUGUUAAGGAUAAGUGGAAUACUCUCCUUAGUUAUAUGAUUUUUUGAUCUAGUUUUUAUUUAGAAAACUAGAUGAAUCUUAUUUUUUUUUCUUUCUUCGUUUAAUAGAAAUCAUGAUAAAGCUUUUGUUAUUUUUCUUCGUGGAGAUGUAAUAUUUUUAUUUUAGUUGAUAAUUAGUAUUCAAUCAUGGUCUAAUUAAACUUAAAAGAUUUAUUUCGUAAAUUUCUCUAUAGCUAUAUAUUUUUAUUUUGUAAAUAAUUUAUAUUUAGUACUCCUGGCCAAACAUUCAAAUUGAUUUGAUGGGCAGCCAUGUCAUGUCAUGUUAUCGCCGUGUUGCGGCUGGCGGCGGUUUCCUCCGGUCGACACAUGCUUCCGAGUUCCGACGGCGGCGACCCAGCCGCCGUGGCCGACUGGCCGUGUCCGUCGUCUCCAUCCCGUGUCGCUGCUGCGUACCUGCCUGCGUGUUUGCUUUGGGAGUGGUAGCUACUGCUAGAGCUAGCUACCAGGAGUGUUUUUUUUCAUAAUAAAUUAGUCAAUAAUAAUUUUAGCUAUACCAGUAAACAAAAUCAAACUUAUUUGUUAGUAUGGCUAAAAUUAUUAUUAACUGAUUUAUUAUGAGAGAUAAAUACUACCGAUUGGUAAACCUAGGGCAAGCAUAGCGACUAGCGAGUUCCAACCACUCCAACUUGGGCAGCGGCGGAGAGGGACGACGACACAGAUGACGAGCUUGUUAGCUUGACCUUAUCUGUUAAAUUUAUCUGUUAUUUAGUAGAAUUCUUUUCUUAUAAUAAAUUAACGAAUAAUAUUUUUAGUAUUGUUUUUUAGCCAAUCGAACAUGCUCGAAGAUGCGUGCUUUUGUUGCGUGCAGUGCUCCAGGCUAGGCAGCCACAGGCCUGACUUUAAUUUGUUUUUUUUUUUUGACAAUAGCCUGACUUCAAUUUGUUGAGCUCGCGACGUGCAUAGAGCAUCGCAGUCGCAGCAUCAGCAUGCAUGCUGCAUGAUGCAGCCGUCUUGAAUUGGCAUCCUGUUAGCUCCUCUGCCGAUGUUUGGCAGCACCUUUAGAUUUGAUAUAUAUAUACUCUUCCCCUGUCCCGAAAUAAGUCAUUGUCUCAAUCAUAACUUUAACUGGAUAUAUAAAAAAUAAACUAAUAUUUAUGAUACCAUAAAUAUCAUUAAAUUUAUUAAGCCAUAUAUUUCCAUAACAAAUCUAUUUGAAGAUAUAAAUUUUGAUAUUAUUUUCUAUGAAUAUAGUUAGAGUUGAAAUCGAGUGACUUCUCGAAAUAUAAGGUGAAGACUUAUUUCGAGACGGAACUCACGGAAGGGUAUUUGUUAUUUGUUUAGAUCGGUCUGCAGUGUGGCUACUACCCACAAUUAUCGUGAAGUCUAAUGUUUUUAAGUUUUUUUAAUUAUAGAAUACAUCACAUUAAAAUUAUGUGGAGACAUAUAUAUAUUAUUUUUAAUAAAAUUUUAGCUUGUCUUAAAUUUAGAAUUGUAUUUUUUUUCAAGGUGGAGUGAGCAGAUAGAAGCAUGGAAUUCUGUUUGGAGGUAAACAUGCAUUCCGCGUAAUGAAAAUAGCGUGCAGUACAGCUGCGACUGUAUGUGUGCAUGUUUAGACGGCUGGCGCACGUACCAGUUCAGGUGUGUUAGGAGAGAAGAGCUUUCUUCAAGUAUCCAAGGAGGUUCCUCUUAAUACAAGAAACGUGCAGUCCAGGGUCUUAUUCAAUCUUGAAGGGGACAACAACACAACUGUCCUUGGAGAUAUUAAUUUCAAUGACUAAAAAACGAAACGAACUCCUCAGAGAUAUUUAGUUUGUUCACUUGUUGAAGGUAGCGUCCCGGUGGUAGGAAGCUCUGACUCCUGACCUCCGCAUGUGCAGUUUUGUGUGUUGUAAAAAAAAACAUCAAGCCUGUUCGUUUAAGCUUAUGUGUUAAAUUUAUCAGUCACUUAUCAAUGUUUUUCUCUCACAACAACAAAUUAGCGAAUAGUACUUUCAGUUAUGGUUUUCACACAUACGAACAAGCUCGUUUGUCUCAUAGGUAUAGGAUCUGGCUCAGUUUCACGCGGACUGCGGAACUGCUAUGUAUGGGUGGGAUAGGUGUUAAGAAGUUUUCUUGAUUGUGUGAGAAUUUUUUUUCUUAAUAAGAAAAAUGCCUGAGGACUAUCUAGCCUCGCGUGGGUCUGAGUUUUUUUUUAAGAUUCACGCGAUUUAGAUGUUUUUAGUGGUUGCAUUGCAUGGUGAAGUACCGCUCACACCGAAAGUUUCUCUUUAGCAACCAGAGUUCAAAUUGUUGUAAACUUCACUAGUGGUUUGGAACGUUGGAUCUCAUAGGAGUUAUAUAGGAAUAUGCUAAGGCCUCGUUUAGUUCCGAAAAGUGAAAAAUUUUCGGUACCGUAGCACUUUCAUUUUUUAUGACAAAUAUUAUCUAAUCAUAGACUAACUAUGAUCAAAAGAUUCGUCUCGUGAUUUACAGCUAAAUUGUGUAAUUAGUUUUUGUUUUCGUCUAUAUUUAAUGUUUCAUGCAUGUGCCACAAGAUUCGAUGUUACGAGAAAUCUUGAAAACUUUUUGGUUUUCAAGCUGAACUAAACAUAAAAAAAAAUCUCACGGCCGGGAUCCAAUUCUUCAUAUGCCUGUGUACUUCCUAGGUUCUAAAAAAAGACAUUUUUAAUGAGUCAACAAUCCCAAGUUUGACUAAUUUUAUAGAAAAUUAUAUCCACAUUUAUAUCUUUAAUAAGUUUAUUAUAAAAAUGUAUUUCAUAAUUAAUCUAGUGAUACUACUUAUGUGUCGUAAAUAUUAGUAAAGCGAGACUUAUUACUCUUUGUUUAUAGUCGCCAGCAGAAGCUCUUAUAAUAUAUAUGUUCUGACUUGCAUAGUUCUCAAAUCAAGUCCAAUGCAACACCUCUCCUAGAACAUUGGACGCCUACUCGAACAUGCGUGAAGGUGCCUACAUGUAAUACAUCGUAAGCAGGCAACCAAACACAAACUUACCCAACAUAACUUCUGUGUAGCCCAACCAAACAAUAAGACAUUCCAUACAUUUAUGUUAUUUUGGAUGUAUUGUGUAAGAUCUAAUGCAGGAUAAAAGUAAUGCAAGCAACCAAUCAUACUCUAUUGGAUCCAACCAUCCAUAUUACUAUUUUGAUAUUAUUAACUUGACCAACCAAAUUAAACAUCUUAUAAUCCAGGGAUUCAAACAACUGAACUAUUUAUAUAUUAGUAGAUUCUAGAGUGUCUAUUUAAAGGGCCUAUUGGAUCUCACUUUUUUUAUUAUUAGAAUCUAGAUUACGAAUAUUAUAAUAAUUUGGAUUGUUUAAAUCCAUAAAUUAUAGAAGCUGGAUUAUUGUCCCAUCUACCCUAUUAGUAGAUUUGAGAUGGAUUAUAUGAUUACUCCCUCCGUAUAGGAUUUAGAAGACGCUUUGGACAAAGUUUAGGUCAAACAUUAUUAGAAAUAUAAAUCAUCAAUAACUUAAAUUGUUGAGUUUGCAACUGUGAAAAUUAUAUGGAUAGAUUUUUGUUAAAAAAUACUUUCAUAAAAGUAUACACAUAUUAUUUUUUCCUAAAUAUUUUUUAUAAAAAUAAGAGGUCGAAGUUAUGUUUUGGAGCCCGUAUCGUUGUCCUAAACGACUUCUAAAUUCUAUACGAAGAGACUACAAUAAUAUGUUGGUAGUAUUAUAAUCCAACUUAUAAUAUAUAUAUAUAUAUAUAUAAUGUUUGAAUCACCUAGACAUUAUUUUUUUGAGUAUACUACAAUCAAAUAGACCCUAAAUUCUUACAAUCUGUUUGACAUCCAAAGUUGCCUUAGAGCAUCUCCAACGGUUUUGCAAUUUUUGUUUCGCAAAACAAAGAGUUUGCCAAGUCUUAAAUCAAUAUGGCAAGUCAAAAAAUUGAGUGUCUCCAAUGGUUUAGGCAAAAUUGAGUUGGCAAAACUAAAUGGUGGACCCGGUCGUUAUUUUUUCACGCGCUUUUUCUCUUCGCGCCGUCCACUCCAUCGCGCGGGAAGUCUCGCACGUUCUCCCACGCGUUGUGUUGUGCCGCCGCCUCCUUUAGUUUGCGCUGGUGCGUUCGCUUCAAGGAAAAAAAGUGGGAGACGAGGUGUGCGGCGCGUGUGGCGGGGUUUCUUCGCAAGGCGGACGACAGUGCGUGGUGAGACUUUGUGUCCCGAAGAAGAGUCGGAGGCCGAUCAGAACUUUGUGUCGCGAUAUGUCGCGAUGGAAGUUUCCCUUAUAUGGCGCGAAGAGGAGUCGGAGACGCGCGGGAGACCGAAAACCGCGUGGGGGAGAGACCGAUCUGCCUUUGCCAAGUCGUCCGGGGUUUGACAAAAAUGCCAAGUUUCCUCACUCAUUUGCCAACUUUGCCAAAAUACAAAACUCAAAUGCAAAACCAUUGAAUACCUCAAUUUGAGCUUUUGACAAAUUAGUCAAAUGCAAAUCUCAAUUGCAAAACCGUUGGAGAUGCUUUACUCUGUCAGACACAUUGUUGCACAAGUUGGAGACCGAGGCAACUUCACUUGGUAUCUCUAUACAAUCUAGCAGUCGGUUUGAACCAAACGCAUUUUCGUUAAUGAAUGGCCCUUGUACAAUAUAACAGGGAUCAUAUGCCUUACUUUGCUCUGCCAAGACUAGAUAUAACAUUGCCGGCCAUUUGCAUUGUGUUCAGAAAGUAAUUAGUAAAUUGGUGAAAGAUCAAAUAGGUUGUCAGACAAAACACUUUGAAAAAGGGGAGGACAUAUCCAAACUCCUUAAUUAAUCUCAAACUGGCCCCUGAUUUGUGUUCAGACAACAAGAAAAGAAUCUCGCAAUCCAGCUCCCUGGGUGCUCGAUCGCAAAUCCAUACCGUUUGGUUUUCUAUUUCUACCAGGAUAGUAUUAUUAGUAUGGGAGGAGCAGUAUUCUCGUGUCAAUCAGAAUCUGAUGCAGCUAUCCUAUUAUUUACUCCUAAAAAAUUAGCUUGUGCAGCGAUCGAUCUACCAUGACAGGCACACUAAGAAAGAACAAGAUUGGAAAGAACGAUAAUUGUUGACGAGGUUCUAAUCAAAGUCAACUUGAGAUUCGUCUAAAAAAAGUCAACUUGAGAUUGGUAAUUCAAAGCUUUUUGUCACCUCAAGAUCAAGGAGCGAGGUGGCAUACAUAACAUACAUGACACAACAAAAGUUUACAAUACGGUAAUGACGAUAUUACCUCAUGAUCAAGCCAUGACAUAAACUGCAGUAAACUUAAUUAACUUGGAUUAAGCGCCUCUAGCUACUAGUGGUAACUGGUAAGUAUAUAUGCAGUAACAACAGCAAUAAGCUCACACACACGCACGGGCAAGUACACACAGGCCGGACCGGACUGAUACAGUAGAGACAGCUCAGAAGCACCAGAAAGUCGACGCCGGCGCCGGCCGCGCCUUCUUGGCCGGCGGCGGGUGCGGGAACUCCGGCACCGCGAACACGUCGCUGUCGCUGUCGGAGUUCCAGCUCAUCUCCCUCACGAACCCUUGCGUCGGGACGGCCACGACGGACGCCGGCGUCGCCUUGUCGAAGCCCAGCGCUCCGGCGCCGGUCGACCACACGCCGCCGCGCUUCCCCGGCCGGCCGCCGGCCACCACGUCGAACAGAUCGGCGUCCAGGGACGGCACCUGCUCGUGGCCGUCGUCGCUGUAGCCGCUGGCCUUCUGCUUCCAAUAACGAACCACACCGUGAGGUCGAUCUGUUAGCUAGCGUGAUCCGUCUGCGAGUAGAAUAGAGCACGGAGUGGGCACGUACCGAUGCCGCUGAGAACGCGGGGUCGUCGAAGAGGAGGUCGUCGACGCGCCAGCCGGGGCAGAUGUUGGUGAGGUAGUCGGAGAUGCUGCUGCCGCCGCCUACGCUGCCGGACUCAAGAGCCGAGGCCUUGGCCGCGCAGGAGCCCUGCGCGCCGAGGGCGGGCACAGCGUCGGGCUCGGCGGCGGCUCUGGUGUCGCGGCCGCAGGCGUCGUCGUCGUCGUCGUCGUCGUCAGGGGAGGCGGGCGCCUGGUCGACGAGCUCGGCGGAGAGCUUGGCCCCGACGAGGAGGAAGCGGGUGUGCUUGGCGGUGAGGUCGUUGGCGCUGUGGAUGGGGUCGUCGCAGUCGGGGCACAGGAUGGCGCGGUCCUCCACGCAGAACACGAGGCCCCUCCGCUCCUGCAAGGGCGCACCAACCAUGUCAGCAGCCAGCAGCUGCGAAUCCGAUCCUCUCCCUCUCCGGCCGAAGCAUGGACCGGACCGAAAACCUCACCUUGCAGACGUCGCAGAGCGGCGCGGCGGCAUCGGCGUCGGCGUCGGAGACGUUGCCGGAGGCGGGCUGGACGAGCGGGAUGCGGCGGUGCUUGUGGACGAGCUUGUUGGCGCGGUGGACGCGGCGGUCGCAGGCGGAGCAGAGCGCGGCCUCGUCGGCCCAGCAGAGCACGGCGGCCGGCGCGGCGCCGCAGAAGUCGCAGCGCACCUGCAUAGCAAAGCCUAUGGGAGACCAGAGCAGAGCAGCGCUCAGGAAUCUGGUUGGCGCUAAGCUUGCUCUCAAGCUACAGCGUCAAAGGUUGAAAAAGGAGAGGAGGCUGGAGAUGAGAGAGACUGAGAGGACAUGGCGGGAUGGGUGCAGCGAGGAUAAUAAAACAGAGCAGGAGGGGGUGGUGAGAUUAAAUUAUCCGCCAUGACAGGGAGAGGCGAGAUCUUGUUUGGGGAAGAGAGGAGAAGAGAGGAGAUGAGGGCCAAGCCAAGUUGGCCACCUUGGUUUUGUGCCUCUUUUGUUUUGUUAUAAGCUAGAUUAAGGUCUAUUUGAUAUUUUGAUUGAUCCCACGGCCUAACAGAAGGUAGCUAUACUUCAGUCUAUUCAAGCAGAAAAGCUUACGAUUUUUAUUCGCUAGUUGUUAGUCUAUUAAUCAAACACGACUAGCUAACAAAAGCUAAGCUAAUAGUUCAUUGUAGGAGAUGUAUGCGAAUUUUUACCAAGAACACGAAAAAACUGUUUGGCUGGCUAAUUUUUUCGGCUGAUGUUAAUUUUUUGAGAGAAAAACACUAUUAUAUGGCUAAAAAGUAGUGCUAAUAAGUUCAAACGAAUAGUUAGUUAAUUUUUAGCUAUGACAAACAUUUAGUCAUAGUCGGUCCAAACAGGCUUAGAAUCAACCGGAUAGAUUUUGUCCAUCUUUACUUAAUAGCUUUGCUUACUUUAUUACCUACUUAUUAUUAAGAGUUCUGGUGGGCGUGCACAAUCAAAAAGCAUGCCUGCAAGAUAUUUAGUUUUUUAAUAUUUUUUUUUGUGAUGCAAGUGGUUGUUGAUGGUUAUUGUUUGUUCCUUCCAACAUUUGUGUUAAAGUGGCGGUGAGUUUUUUUUAAAGUCCAAUUGGGUCCUCCAUUUAUAGUCCCCAUGUUGCAAUAAUAUUAUUUCUAUCACAUGCAUAGGAGGCAUAAGAUGAUAUAAGAGCCAUGUACAUCUUUGUGUAGUUGUAUUAUUAACAUUUUUACUAUAUAGAUGUAGUGUUGAUCCUUGGUCAAUCUCCUGAGUACAAUUUCGACUAAAUUAUAUAGUGUUAAGCCUGCGACAAGGGAUCACCACUCCCAACAGAAACAUGAUAGGCCACUUAGAGUCUUAGCAUUCACUCAAGAAUAUGCUAGAGAGGGUAAGCAACCUCCUACGUACGGUUGCCCAAUUAGCUUCCUUGAUGUGGAACUUGCUGAGUCAAAUUUAGAGUCUAACUAAAUACGUACACUAAUAUUAUAUUAAAUAAAUAGUGAUCAUGAUUACGAGCAAUAAAACAUUAUCAAUAGGUAUCGUCCAAAUCACUCUAAAUUAACCACCAAUAGAUAUUGUUUUGUGAAAAAUGGUACAACUUUUGUAUUUUUAUUUAAAAUAAAUUAAUUAUAAGUUUUAGAGAUGUAAACAUUUUUUUUUGAAAAAUGCAUAUGUAUGCAAAACCACCUUUAAAACAAGUUGAGGGCUAAAGUUGUCUAGUUUAGUAGUUCAAUGGCCAAAGUCGUUUUGAUGGUCAUUGAAGCUUGAUGGCCACAAUCAGACUCGAAAUGUUCUUCGAGGAGUGAAAACGAGUUUACCUAUAGUGGCAAUAAUGGUAAUUUUUCCAAUCUCAAACCUAGCUGUGCCUUGUCUAUCAAAAAUGUUUAUGAGUUAGACUUUGCAGACGUGUAUUCAUAAAAGUAAGUAUGUGUUCGAGUAUGCUAGAGUUUGCAUCUAUAAUAAUAUGCCCUAGAUUAGUUGUUAUUAUUGUGCAAAAGGUACUCUGAUCCUUUUGUUAUGGAAUAAAGGAAUCCAAGUUUGUGCUAAGUCAAUUAUGUUAAGUUUGAUCAAAUUUAUAGAGACGAAAAUCAACAUAUACCACAUCAAAGAGGUGUGUGUGUGUAUUCAAUUAAGCUAAUUUGAAGUCCUAUAUGUUUUUCUUCUUUUUUUCCAUAAACUUAAUCAAAGUUACUAUAAUUUGACUUAGAACAAAACUGAAUCCUUUAUAUUUUAGGAGAGAGUACGAUGAUAGAAGGCUAUCGCAUCAUAAUAAAAUAUAUUUCUAACAUUCACAAAAAAUGAGUAAAAUCUCGUUAUUAUAGAGGAUAAUAUCCCAUCUACAUGCAUUGCCAAUGCCAUAGAUAAUUGGUUAAGGUUGUUAAAGUUUAACAGGUACUGUAACAUUUUCGUUUUAUUUGGUAAUUAGUGUUUAAUUAUAGACUAAUUAUGUUUAAAAAAUUCAUCUCACAAAUUACGUUCUAGUUAUGUUUUUAUGUUUUUAGUUUUAUAAAUAGUCUAUAUUUAAUACUCUAUGCAUAUGUCCAAACAUUUGAUGUGAUGGAUGAUAAAAUUUAACAGAAGUAAUCAAAUAGGCCUCAGUUUAGGUCUUGUUUAGUUCACCCCGAAAACCAAAAAUUUUUCAAGAUUUAUCGUCACAUCGAAUCUUUCGACACAUGUAUGAAACAUUAAAUAUAGACGAAAAUAAAAACAGUUUACCUGUAAAUCACGAGACGAAUCUUUUGAUCCUAGACAAUAUUUGCCACAAACAAACGAAAGUGCUACGGUAGCGAAAUUCAAAAUCUUUUCGCAUCCAAACAAAGCCUUAUUUGCACUCGAAAAAUCUCUCUCCCUGCACUGCGCACACAGUGUGCGAACUGGGCCUAGCAAAGUCAAUGCUGCACGCCUCGGAUCACGGCUUGCUGGUACUAUCAAACCAAACGAGAACUGUGACUGUGAGUGGCAUGGUCCAUGUGAGAAAAAAAGAUACGCAUGGCAUGUUCUGGAUGUGUACGUAAUACGUACGGGCCCAAUUAAUCGACGCGUGGACCACCACUGUACGUGGCACUGUGUGCAGCGUGCUUAAUCUGCGUGAUGAGCGCGUUGUACAGUUCAUCGAUCGUUUCAUCAAUCUCUACUCGACAAACUCCCAUCGACGGAUCUCAACUGUUGCUAAUCCGGCCGGCCGGGCCGGCUUAAUUAUUAUUGUUGUUUGCUGGUGGUCAACCAAGCUAAGUACAGGACAACAACUAACAAGCACUGAAGCACAGUGAUCUGGUUGCCAUGGCGACGACUUCUUGCUCCUCUUAAAACAUAUGUGUCGACCAAGGAUCGAUUGCCCAGAUACUACUAUCGUCAAUUUUUACCUGCGUGCAUUAUUGCAAUAAAGAAUAAACUGAACUUUAAGUCAGAGAUGCUUGCAUGCUUAGCCUUUAUUUUGAGGCCACUGGUACCUCAAUUAGACCUGACGAUUAACUGAAAAAAAUGUCGGGCCAAAAAAUUUAGUUCAGGGGUGUUUAUUUUUCUUAAAAAAAUUUGGGUUUGAUCCAUCAUUUUGUAAAACGGAACUAAACACUAUGCAAAAUUUUUGGCAAAAAGGUGGUUAUUCUCUAUUUUGGAUUUUGGCAUCAGGAGGCAAAAAAAAAAAACCCAAAAUGAUCCUCAAGAGGCUCUCAUGAGACAAUAAAUUCUGCAUUUUGGAUAGAACUAAACAUGACCCUAAAAUUUUUGGCAUUUUACAUUCCACCAUUCCAAAAUAGUUGGCUUUUUGCAUUUUGUAUCUUUUUGAGCUAAACACCCCCUCAAUCCCAUCUGACGGAUCAAUCUAUUUUUCUCUCUUUUUUAGUUCUUACGUAGAGAUUGUUUUUUUUUUGGGGGGGGGGGGGGGGGGUUAGGUUGGAUCUCAUGGUUCGAGCCCACCUGAUGCAUUGUUCAGGUCGAGUCGAGUGAAGUAAGAUUUUUAAGGGCAGGUCAGGUCGAUCGGAUGCCUAUGUUAACGACAUUCAUCAUCCUUAAUCCAUCAGUUCAUCGUGGCCCUGUGAAAAAAGAUCAGAUUAUUCGGUUAUCUCUGAAGGAAAUCCGACAACAGGGAGUAGGAAACGAUGGUAAUGGUAAAUAAAAUGGUGAUCACAACCACGAGGUCUCUGGCUACCAGAACGGCGUGUUCUGGAUAUAUAUAGGGCCACGCUGGGGCUAGCUGGUCCACCCUUAGCAGCCGGGGUACGGGAACAUGGGUACGUUCCCCGUUCCGGGAACUUCGUCCCGAAACGUGGAACGGGAACAUCAUGGAACAUCGUUCCCAAAUGCGGUGGAACACGAAUCAUAUAUAGGAGCAAUCAUAGGAACGUCAGUCUCAAGCGACUAUAGAACUUCGUGGUGUGUGUGCAUACUGCGCCGUGCCCGUCCGUGAGCGGUCGGCGAAAAAUCUAUAUGGUGAUUGACUCAUUGGCCUAGACCUACAAUGAGCCUUAAGGUUGGAGUUGGACAGCCCUAAAUAAAACAAAAAUAUAAUAGUAAAUUAUAUCACGCUAGGAAUCGAACUCAUUUGGUUCAAAACAACACGUAAAACUACCUGAGCCAACCACUACGUCCCAAACACGUUCCUUUAGAAAGUGGAACGCGUUCCGCAACUUAAAGGAACGAGACGAAGCUAUAUACCCCCUACGUUCUAUAGUUUAUGAGAAUGUCGUACCGCGUACCACGUUCCCGUACCACGUACCCUAUGUUCCGGGAACUUGGCUGCUAAGGGUCCACCCCACCGCCAGGAUGGUUCAAGAUCAGUGUAGUAGUAGAUGGCUCCUUUGUACUGCAAUUAAUCUGGUGGAGUUGAUAUGAUGUUGGGGUUUAUAAUUGCUAGAGCAGUUUCAGCCAUCCUUGCUGUUGCUGAGCGCCAGCCGCCAGGGGGAAGGAUAUAAUAUAAUUAACCUCAGCUCAGAGCAUGUCCACCAAGAAGCAAAAGAGGACAGUACGUAGUUGGUUGGAAAGGCACAUCGUGGCUUGGGCGAUGAAGUGACGAUUAGUGAAACAUCGGUAGUCAGGUGUCAGGUCCAUCAGAUCAGAUCAGGCAGCUAUUGCAAUGGUUGUCGAUCAGCUAGCUAGGUCAGAAAAAACAGUGUUUCAGAUGGAGCACCUUUUGCCCUCUAGCUAGAUUCACAUGUUUGUUUAAUUAAGGCAUUGUUUAGAUCAAAAGGUUUUUGGAUUUUGACAAUAUAGCACUUUCGUUUUUAUUUGAUAAACAUUGUUCAAUUAUGGAGUAAUUAGGCUUAAAAGAUUCGUUUCGUGAUUUAUAGUCAAACUGUAUAAUUAGUUUUUGUUUUUAUCUAUAUUUAAUGCUCUCUAUAUAUAUGUGCUGUAAGAUUCGAUGUGACGAAGAAUCUUGUAAAGUUUUUGGUUUUUGGCAUGAACUAAACAAGACAUAUUUAAGUUGGAGUUUACGGAGCAAGCUAAGGCUGAUAUGAUGAGGUGUUUGACCUGAAAAGGGGGGGGGGGGGGGGGGGGGGGGGGUUUGGGAAUUGGCAGGUGUACGUUACGCACAGCAGCCAUCCGUGACGAUUCCGAGGGAGGCUAGAGUUGUUUCCAUCUCCACGGUUCGCGUGCAGUCGUUCUCAGCAGUAGACACUAUAUAGCACUCUUUCAGCGAAGCCACCUUUGGCUCUUGAAUUUCCGAGAUGGAUGGAUAGACGAUGGCGUCCCGUCCGUCCGGCCGUCCUUGCACGCAUGGGUUUUCCUGGGUGCCAUUAACUCCUGGAUGUUGAUUGAGAUAAUAUAUACAUAGUACUAAUAUAGUAUAUAUAUAUAUAUAUACUUAUAUAGUAGUACUAUAUAUAUACUCACAACUUGACAGCCAGCCUAACAGUGUAGUGUAGCUAGGAGCACAUACAGCUAGGUAGCUAUACUAUAAUUCGUUCGUUUGCUGUUUGCAUAUUAUACGUUAGGUAGAGAUACGAUGAGAUCCAGAGCGCAGCUAGGCAUCGAUGAAGGUGCUAUAUAUAUAUAUACUACUCCAUGUUACGUACGGUGUAUAUGAAUCUAUCUAUCUAUAUCUAUCCGACGCAAGUCGCUCACUCUCGCGCCGGCCCGCCCGCGUGCAUCCGCAUCCGCGCGCUCGCCUCAAAAGGCGUCGUUGGCAUCGGGCAUGCAUCUGCAGGUGAUCGAGGAACACGCCCUCCCGCUCCCGCACGCGCGCACACACACACCGCGGCCACGUGCCUCCGUGCGUGUCGGCAAGUCGAUCGAGCGGUCGUUCGCUGGCGCUGCCUUUUUGCCGCGGCCGGCCAAUAUGCAUGCAUGGCGCCCGAUGAUGGAUAUGAUAUGAUAUGAUCAUAUCGGACGCGCGCGCGGACCACGCCGAAGCGGACCCAUACCAUAUACGCGCGCCGCCGUCGCUUUCGUCUUCCUCGCGGGACACAUGCAAUGCACGGGAGAUCCAUGGACUAGAUGGAUGAUGAUCGUGGGCGCGGUCCCGUCUCAUGGCCGGAACUAAGCUAGGCCUUGUUCAGUUCCACCCAAAGCCAAAACCAAAAACUUUUAAGAUUUUUCGUCAUGUCAAAUUUUACGGUAUAUGCAUGAUUGUAUGAAGUACUAAAUAUAGACGAAAACAAAAACUAAUUACACAGUUUUGCUGUAAUUUACAAGACGAAUCUUUUAAACCUAGUUAGUCCAUGAUUAGACAAUAUUUUUUCAAAUACAAACGAAAUUACUACAUGAAUCAAACCCAAAAAAUUUUUUGAACUAAACAAGGCCUAAGUCGAUCGGGGAGUGUCGUCGUUGGUCCAUCCCUCGCCGGCGGCUCUCGCUCGCUGCACAUUCCUAGAAUCCUACCCUAGCCGCUAGAGACAUCCAUCCUUCCCACAACUACGCGCAUCUAUCCGAUCCAUCACGACCAUACAUGCAUUGCAUUUGCAUGCAUAAUGUCAUGCCAUGCUACCUCCGUUGUCUCUAGACUUGACGAGAACCUUCAAGAUUACGGCACGUCGUCGUCCGGCGGGCGGCCGGCGGCCUUCUGCAUGUUUUAUUUCCCCAGCAAGUAUUUUUAUUUUAUUUUUUAACAUACUUACACCAAACUUGCUAAACCGCUGCAAAAGUCAAAUUAAAGAACCCAAGAAGCCAAACUAAGUCACCAAGUUUGCACCAGCAGCCGUAUGUGUGUGUGUUUGUGUGUGUUUUUUUUCAUCUCCUCACUUGCUUGCGUGGUCCAAUAAAUUAAUGGAUCAAACUUUUUUUCCCUUUAAAGUUAGCUAAAAUUUAGACAAUAUUACCUGUUUGGAGCAGCAAGAGUUAAAAUAGUCUAAAAUUUAGUGACUGAAUUUAUAGACCAUCAGAUCUAAAUAAAACCUUACCUGUAGUCUGCAGAGUGAGACGCACACACCACACUCCUAUCCCCCUAAAAAAAGCACGCAGCUGGCGGCCAACGGAAAACAACGUCAGCUUCAGGUGACGACUUUUCGUUGCUUUCAACCAGGAAUGGCAACUUGCCAAGUACACGACAAGUCGAGAAACCGAAAAAGAUUUUACAACAACUCUUUUUUUUUUGGUAAACAGCCCUGUUCAGCAGCAACUAUGUAAGAGAAGAGAGAGAGCUAACAUCAACUGCAAAAAAAAAAAAAAAAAAAAGGUUAGCGAAGGGCGAAGAGGCCCAGUUGGGAUGUUCUAGCUAGCCCAAUCCAAAAGUGAAUCGAUAACUGAAGAACCAUUUUUGUAGGCACUUAUAACUGUAGUUUGUUGCUUCGACAUCGACAGCUGCGUGUAUAAUAUCUACAGCUAGUUGCCUAGUUUGUUGCGUCGACAUCGACCGCUGCGUGCAUAAUAUAGUGCCUUCAUCACAAAUUACAAUACAUUCCAAGAAAAGUUUGAUCAAAAUUAUAAAAAAAAAUUAUAAAGAUUUGUAAUAUCAAAUAGAUAUACUAUAAAUACGAUUAAUAAAAAGUCUAAUAAUACUUAGUUAAGAUUAUAAAUGUUAUAUAAAUUUGAUCAAACUUAAAAUACUUUGACUCUUUAAGAUUUUUCGAAUGCUUUGUAAUUCAGGACGAAGGGCAUGGGUUCAGGAACAAGCGGAGAGCAAUAGGGACGUGUGCCUCGUUUUUAUUUAGCUUCAGGCAGGCUGCGAUGCUUUUCCGUUUCCGUGCACGGUCGCUCUCCAUGAGACCAGAGGCGUGCUCUGCUCAAUAGUUCCAGAACCAUGGCGUGCCUCUGGAUGGAUAUUGGAGUGGACUCCCCUAGUCUGAUAGCGUCCUACAUUCCAGCUUUCGGCUUCGGGAGUGCUGCUACUUGUACAUUUCAGCCCCUUGUUCUUCGGAAGAUACACGUCGCUGUCGACGAUUUGAAGAGACUUUCACAACAAAAUUGCAGCAAUGGAGAAAGAAGCUAGUACGUACUAAUAAUAAAGGAUUAUGGGUGGCUGUAGUGGGACAAAACCGGGGCCUUGGAUGCUGCUUCAUGUCAUGGCAUAACUGCAAGAUGACCACCACAUAUAAUACAGCUAACUGCUAACAUAUUACUAAACACAAAUCAAAUCAAACGUCUGGGCUGAACUGAUAACGGCCAGAUGGUAGAGCCCAAACUGGUGGCUAUGGCUCCAACACAAGACGAGUCUAACACAGUUCAGAGUCCUGCAGUAUAGGUGGCUUCAGCAGGGCUGGAGAAGCCGCAUGUUAAGGUACACCUGAUCACAGAUUCACAGGUAAAGAAUCAUUUCUGUAUGCAUUUCUUCCACGGGCCAUCUAUUUUACAAGUUUGAGCAACAUCCCCCUACUACCAGGUGUUACAACAUUUCCCCCUUGAGCACGUCUUGUCCCCUCUAAAAACUAGGAACAGAAUCAGAACCUAUCCUCUUCUAGCGGGUUUCCACGCACGAUGAAUAUGGGUAAACGAAAGAACGUAUUUGCUUGCUGUGCUGCCUUCACAUCACGAUGCGGAGGACGGCGAGGCCGACGGCUGAGAUCGAAACAAUGGUACCUAUGCAGUACUUGAUGACAUCGUACUUUGCUGCCUCCAACUGGGCCUUCAGUGAGUGAAUUUCCUGCAUAUGGCGGCAAGACAUUUCGGUUGGUCUCCAAUGUAAACGAUGAUACAGAAAGCACAUACAGGAAGCCUUAGUUUAUUGCCACUCACCUUGUCAAGCUUUGUGGUAAGCUCAGUAGUUUCCUCAUUCUGCUUGGCAAGUUCAUCACGUAUGCGCCUGGAGCAAUGUUUCAAUCAGGGGUCAUAAUCACACACAUGACAGUUUGAGCACCAAGGCAUAAUACUAAAAAAACAUCUAUCGUUGUUCAGUCAUUCAGAACUAUGACAUUACUGCAAAGUGUAACUCAUCAGAAGAUACUAUAAAAAUUCCUUCAAAAGGCUCAAAGGAGACUGGAUAAGAGCAAGAACAUUCUGCCUGUUAGUAGUGGCAUUCAUCUGGAAUUGUUCUAUAAAAAUGAGUUUUUUCCGUUACAUUAAGACCGCAUGCAAUGAUGCAAGACACCACUAGAAAAUAUAGUGGACAUGCCAACCUGACAAUGUGUGUUCAAGAUCUGAACAUUCUGUAUACUGCUGACCAACUGAUGGUUGCAUCUAAGAGAGAACUAUGAGCAUCUCAACCAAAGGCAUAAGGCCAAACUACUAUAAUUUGAAAACAUAAGAAUUAUAGAUGGAUCCACAAACCUUAAAACCUGAACAUGAAUGCCUUUUCAUACGCAAAGGUGAGCAAUGAUAACUAAAAUAAGCAGGCCAAGCCAAAUUUGGUUCAGAUCCAGCCGCUAUAACGUUUUUUUAUAAUGAGCAAGUUAAUCAUUCUUGAUUCUGUUUGUUCCAUACACAAAUUUGUAGAAAGUAUUGAUUCUUAUGUUUUAGUGAUCAAGUGCAGCUGGUAGCCAGAUAAUAGCAAAAGAACUGAACAGUACAGAGAGCAUAUCUAAAUAGAGACAAAUGAUCUUACCCUCUUUCAAGGUUCAGAUCCAGCCGCUGCCCUGCAGUGACCUUGUCAAUCUCAUACCUGUUUCACAUAAUGAACAAUUAGACUGAGUAUGUUCAUUCAGAUUCCUGAUAUAAACAGCUCUUGAACUUAAUACUGACUUUAGUUCACUCCUCAUCUUAUCAAUGUCUCCACGAAGUUUCUCAGUCUCCCGCUGUAACAAAGAGAAAUGGUUUUCCUACAAAAAGGAAAGGACCUUUUUAAGCGAAAUAAUCAUUACAAAUAAGAAUAAGUACAUGACGAAGUACUCAAGACAACAGUUUUGAAUACUGAAAAUGUAAAGAGAUAAGCAGCAAGACGAGGACAUGUGAACUGCAAUCCAUGCAAAGACAGUGCAGAGAAAAAGCAAGAACUAUUUUUAGGUUAGUGGUUUCAAUCAUCAAAUUGAAAUCUGCAAUUCUGUAUCAUUAAGUACGGCUAAAACAUUGUGGAGCACACAACAACGACAAGCCUUUUAGUCCCAACUCCCAAACUGGGAUCACAGUGAGAAAAAUCCAGCAUCAUGCAUACAAACUAUAGUAUUAGAUAUGUAGCACCUGGCUUUUAAAUCAUAGACAGAAUUUCUGAAACUCCACUCUCUGAAAAAGAGUUAUGAGUAGGUUCUAUCAAAAAAUGCAUCAGAAUCGUCCUCCAAACUAGAUAAUGGAUAGUAUAUUGCAAACAUGACGGUAGCUGAAACAAUGACACUUAUAAUAGUUAAAUAUGAUUGCAGAUGAGCAGAACAAAACGAUUCCACUAUAAAUCUAGGAGAUCAAAGUCUUAGUCUAUCUCAAAAAUAAUGUAUCAUAAGAUGAGCAAAACAUUAGAUAAGAUAAGUCCAGCCAAUGAGCACAAUCAGCAAGACAUCUUGAAGUUCAGGGAACACAAUAACAUAAUAAAAUAUCAGCUACUCAAUUGGACGGGGAGUAGGGAUUAACUUAACCAAGCACUAAUAUUUCUCAAGUUUAUUUUCCAAAACAUUAUUAAAAAAACAGUAGACUGCGAUUUGCAGUGUCUGUGGCUAAAAAUUGAAGAUUCUAUUGCCGAUAGCUAAGCAUUCGUUAUACACUUAUACUUGACAUCGGGGCUGUUUGAAAGUACAAAUAAAUAUUUCGUUAGAUAAGAAUAGAAUGUAUGAGAACAGAAUUCUCUUCUGCUUGAAAGUACAAAUAAAUAUUUCAUUAGCUAAGAAUAGAAUGUAUGAGAACAGAAUUCUCUUCUGCAUAGCAAAGGCAUUCUACGGAAGUAUAAAUGACAUGGUAGGAAACUCUAAAAAUGCAGGCACUAGCUUCUGGAAGCGCCUAUGAACGAACAGGCCACAAGCUUGAAACUAACUGUUGAAAAUAAGAAAAAGCGGCGAUGCCUAGCAAUCUUAAUUAAUUCAAAUGCACAUAUCCCAUGUUGUAGUACUAAUAACAGUUUUCGAAAUGGAAGAUUAUUUUAUUCCUCCCCAGACCCCAGCUUUACUGCUGGUCUCAAAGAUAAGGCAUUUCUCUCCAAAGGCUCAGAGAGGUAGCAUAUGUCCAUCCCUUGUCGUGGGUACCACACUAACAUUUUAUAUGGAUGUAGGCUGAUUUGAGAAAGGGUGCUGUAACCGAUACAAGGCAAGCAGCACAUCUGAUAAGCCUGGACUAAUGUAACUUGAUGAUUUGAGAAUAACUUCUACAAAGCAAGCUCAGACCAGUAAUGUUAACUCAAAACAAAAAGGUCAAGUGUUAAGACAUGUGAGCAAAAUGUACAAAUCUCACUGUACUUAAGAUGAUAAAAAUAGUCAAGACAUAACACCCACAAUAAUCUGAUACCCAUAAAAGCACAGAUAUAUGGUUAUUUAAAAUGAGUGAUCUCAACCCAUAAUCCCCAUUCGCACACAUCUAUUCCACAAACUAUAUCCCCAUUGUGUUAAUAAGCAGCUCUAAAUCAGGUUGUACAAACCUUCAUCCAAUCACCCCUGUACUGCUCAAAUGAACAAUCUAAAACAAACCAGAGAGGAAGCAAUGCUAAGUGCCUCCGCACCCAAAAGGCCUAAAAAAAUUACAGAGUAAGAGCUGCAAUCAAGUCCAAUUUUAAGCCAGCAACCAUUUAUGUGGAUCAUGUACAAGGUCCCAAAUUAAGUUCAACGAAAAUCCAGGGACAGACAUUUCUCAUUAUCUAACAUUUAAACUUCCAACCAUACCUGCGAGCUCUGUACUUGCGACUUGAACUUGGAGAUAUUGGACUCCUGCAGCAUCUCACUCUGCAAAAGCCAAGCAAGACCACAAAAUGAGGAAUACAAUUAACCAACACUAAGAAACAACCGAUCACGCAAUGUCAAAGCCGCUACCUUCUGCAUCUCGGCCUUGGAGACGAAGGACUCGGAGAUGCUCUCGAGGCUGUCGUUGAGGACCUCCGUGAUCGCGGAAGUGAUCGCCUCCGCCUGUUUGGUCGGCACGCCCUGCGACUCCAGCUUCCUGACCUGCAGCGACACGACCAUCCCAGCGAGCAGGCGUACCCGCGUCAGCAACUCGACGGAGCAUUCCGCCGAACACCUCUCGGGCGCGCCCCGAGCAUCGGCGGAAGCAGAAAGGGAACGGAAGUAUGGUAAGAGGGGAGCCCGGGCGUUUUGGCUUACCAGGGCGAGGGUGUCGACGAGGAAGGCGCGGCGGCCGUUUGUCUUGACGAGCUGCGAGAUGGUGCGGGGGCAGGGCGCGGCCGCCGCCCACCGCUGCGGCCACUGCUGGUGCCCGUGCAGGAGCAGCGCGCGCCUGCAGGCGACGGCGGCGGCGGCCAUCUCCUCCUCCUCCUCCUACCCCCACGCGACGCGGCGGUGGACCGGGAGGCGGCGGCGGCGGCGGCAGCGGCGGAGGCGGAGGGGUCGGGGACGCGAGCCGGUGGGGAGCGGUCCGGGGGCCGGGCUAUACGGCUGGGCGGGUGGGUGGUGGGCGAUUCGGGCGGCUCGGCUUCGUUCCCGGAGAAAUUGGAGGAGGUGGCCGUGGCGCUAAUUUGGGAAAGGCGAGGGGGGGCGGCGGUGCCUAUAUGCGGAGGCGUGUAGGCGAGGGCCGAAACCUUGGGGAGGAAGAAGACGCGAAGCAAGGGUAAAAGAGGAAGAAAAGGGAGACGGUUUUUCUUUUCUCUUUGGAUAAUUUUGGAUUUGGAUUUGGAUUUGGACUUGGAAAAAUACGAAAUUUGGAAUGGAUUCCCCUAAUCCCCUUUGCCGCGUUGUGUGUGUGUGUGUGUGUAUGGAACCAGUAGGCAGUAGGUACACGGGAUCACGUGUAAUUUCUUCGUCAGUUCUGAGGCCAAGUAACCGUGUACUUGUAGUCGUAGAAUCAAUGAAUCAUGGUCACAGUUAGGUAGAGAAUUCGAUACCAAGCACUUGCGACAUGGAUGAUCUACUACCUUUUGUUUUUGUUAUUUAUAUGUAAACUAAAAUGUAGUAUUUGCAAUUUACAAACAGAUACAAAAAGAGCAGAAGAAAAAAAGGUCUGGGCCUUGGCUUGCUCUGGGCGUGGCGAAUCAAGAGGCGAUGGAGUCCCCAGCCUGGUCCACGCUGGGAAGCGGACCCGACGCGAACCAUUCCAAUCUGGCAGUUGCAUGCAAUCACCAGCCCACCAGACGCGCACGCAAACGCAAACGCCGGGCGAUGGAUUCGCUGGAUAGAGAUCGGGUUUGGAUUGCGUCGCGCAGGCGUGGGCGGUGGCAUCCAGACCGACCAGCCGGGCGCGGGCCAUGCGGUUCACGUUUCCGAUCCCAUUCCCAGCAAACGAGGCGCGCCUGCUGACCGCCGUCGUCUUUUGCCUCGCCGGGCGGCGGAACGCGGAAACGCGGCGCAGCAAUAGGCCUUGUUUAGUUCCUAAAAAAUUUUGCAAAAUUUUUCAGAUUCCCCGUCACAUCGAAUCUUUAGACGCAUGUAUGAAAUAUUAAAUAUAUACGAAAAUAAAAACUAAUUACACAGUUUGGUCGAAAUUGACGAGACGAAUCUUUUGAGUCUAAUUAGUCUAUGAUUGGACAAUAUUUAUCAAAUACAAACGAAAAUGCUACAGUGUCGAUUUUGCAAAAUUUUUUGGAACUAAACAAGGCCCAAGACGCGGCCCAUGGCCCAAGACAAGAUUCUCGGCCUCCCCUUGUCCCAACCCUGCCGUUGCGUUCGCCGAGCGGGGACGUGGGAGGACACACGUGUCCAUCCGAUUCACGACACGGUACUAUUAUCGAAAAUGAACCAUUCGAAUUGAUAGGUGUCCAUGUAUGUACCGACACUAUAAAUCGGACGAACAAUUUACCAAAGUUUGCAAUCCAUUUGUCAAGUGAGGCCUUGUUUAGUUCGCAAAAUUUUUUGUUUUUGGUACUGUAGUAUUUCGUUUUUAUUUGACAAAUAUUGUCCAAUCACGAAGUAACUAGACUUAAAAGAUUCAUCUCACAAAUUACAGAUAAACUGUGCAGUUAAUUUUUAUUUUCGUCUAUAUUUAAUGCUCCAUGCAUGCGACCAAAGAUUCGAUGUAACGGGGAAUCUUGAAAAAUUUUACGAACUAAACAAGGCCCUGAGUUGGAUUGUCAAGCAGUAGUGUUGUCAAGUGAGCCAUGCAAAUACUCCCUCCGUCCCUGAAUACUGUUAUUUCUAGGAGAAAAUUUUGUCCACAAAUACUGCUAUUUCUACUAGCAUAUUCAGUCCACCAACCCAUUUAAUUCUCCUCGGAACUUGCGUGGUCCACCAACUCAUUUAAUUUCUUCUAAGGAGUAGUACUUUGGCGCAUGGUAAUUGGUUGAGUCUGUUCAGUUGACAUUAAAUGCAGCUCGUUGGAACCAGAGAAUCAUGACUUAACGUGCAUGAUUAAAUGAUGCAACCUAAAUUAAUUAAGGGUAGAAUGGUCUUUUGUUUGUCACACUAAUCUGUCUGAAAUCUGCUAGAAAUAGCAGUAUUUGGUGUGGGGGUACAAACCCCUAUACCCUUACGGCUAGACUUGGGCCAGGAGGCUUGGCCCAUUACGAGACGAGUUCAAGGCUUGAUCCGACAACCUGGAGUUUCGCGCAAGGAAACAAGAUGUGGAGAUCAAGCAGGAUUCUAGUCGGUUAGAAUAGGAAUUGAUAUCGAAUUAUCCAUGGCAAUUGUAACCGACUAGGAUUAGUUUCCAGAUCUGUAACCCUGCCCUCCGGACUAUAUAAGGAGGGGCCGAGUUGGCGUAAUACCUACGUCCUGCGUCGAGUUGGCGCAUGGUAUCAAGCUCUUGGAAGACAUACACGCUGGAUCCUGCGGCAACCACGCCGCAUCUAGAACGCUGGUCGGAAAGGCUUUCCGAGCAGGUUUUUAUUGGCCAACCGCGGUCGGCGACGCAGAAAAACUGGUUCGGCUUUCCUCCACCCUGGCGGCCUCUUCGGACUCGGCGAGCUCCUCAUGACCGAUAAAGUGAUCCCCGCGUUGGCGCCACACAUACACGUGUUGGCGGCCAUCACGGGGACGACCCUCGAUCUCUUCUACCUCGUCGUCGGAGGCCGCCCUGGUUUCCUCCUCCUGGGCUGCGUCACCCCCGGUGGUGGUCCCAGGCGCCACCGUCCCUUGGACCAGACCUGGGGAGCCCGCAGCCGGAGAGGCUCCUGCUCGGGGCGGCAGGGGGACUUCACUCCCCCCGGCAGGAGGAGCGGUCGGAGACUUUCCCUUCUCCGAGGAGUCAGUUGGGGGAGCCUCCCCAGCCCUGGUCGGGCUGCUUGUUGUAGUAGGCGCCGCGCUCGGGAGCCCCUCCGUGCUCCCAGGCGCGACUGCAGCUGUUGGCUGCUCUGUGGUCUGGGGGGCCGCAUCCCCAGAACCGCGGGCAGGCUCGCCCGUUCCCUGGCCAGCAGUUUGGCCAGGGUCGACAUCCGAUGCCGCACUACAGGAACAAAAGUUAAAAAAAAAAAGAAAAAAAAAAGAGAGAGGAGUCCAAAAUACGUAAGUUGAACACUUACAGGUCUGACCGCCGAUGGGUCGCGGUGAACCUCCUCCUCGCCCGGCCGGUCGGCGCCUGUGCCCCCACCUCGGCAACUUGCGGGGCAGCCGCGUCGCUGGCCACUCGAUCAGUGGCGACCGGCGCAGCGUUUGGGCGGUCCCGAGGCCGUCGGACCAGCGACGGCGCAGCCUCCUCGUCGUCCUCGUCGUCGUCGACGAUCCGCACGAGCCGACGACGCUUCGGCGCUUGGCUGCUCUCCGCCGGUAGGUCUGCCGGCAGCUCCGGCGUUGGCAAGGGAUUCGCCGGCAAUGGCCUUUUCCCCGCUACCCUCUCCUCGGAGGUCAGGACGGGGCGGGCUCGGUCUUCUUCCGACGGGACCUCUCCCACAGGAUCUUCCAUCCCCGGUGCCAGUGAUGCGUACACUACGCACCGGUCGACAUCACCGACCUGCAAAAGCAACAGAGGUGAGCUAACUGCAGACGACAUAAGAAUGAUCAAACGGGCUAUGCUACAUACCUUUGGUGCUGGUCGUCCUAGUUUGAAGGCUUGCACCCGAUCACUGCUACGGGUGAAGCCCCCAUCGGCAAAGUUAAACAGCUCGUUCAGCAGCUGUUGUACCUCCGCCUUCUCCAGGAUCUCCGACCGCAUCCUGGUCGGGUCUGCGCUUCCGGCAUAUUCAUACGCCGAGUGUACCCUCUUCUGGCAGGGCAUCACCCGGCGGCAAAUGAAGUUGCCGGCCACGCUAAACCCGUCCAGGCGCGACCAGUCGAUCAGCUUCAUCAGCUCCGCCACUUGACCGUCGUACUCCGGGCGGUCGCUCCAGCUCGCCCUCUUCUCGGGAACGUACCCCACGUCGCAGAACGUGGAGCUGCCCGGUUCCUCCCUGACGUAGAACCACCUCCUGUACCAUUCGGUCAAAGAGGUGUUCCAUGGGCAGUGUAGGUAGCGGUUCUUCAUCCCAUCACGAAGGUUGAGGUAUACUCCACCUGCAACCUUGGAGCCUCCAACUGCUCCCUUCUUCCUCAGACAGAAAAGGUACCGGAAAAGAUCAAAGUGCGGCUCUAUGCCAACAUAGGCCUCGCACAGAUGGAUGAAGGUGGAAAUAAGGAGAAUCGAGUUCGGGUGCAGAUUGCAAAUCCCGAUCUCAUAGUACAAAAGAAGACCCUGUAGAAAGGGAUGAACAGGAACACCAAAGCCUCUCUUGAUGAAGUCUUCAAAAACGACGAUCUCACCGGCGCGAGGGUCGGGGUAGCUCUCCCCUUCCGGCGCCCUCCAGCCGCCGAGCUCUGCGUCGUGCAGAAGCCCCAUGUCGACGAGGUCACCAAGAGACUUUGUGGUGCUGCGAGAUUUUUUCCACUCCUUGGCCAUCAGUUCGGCCCUCUUCCUGGAAUCGCUCUUCGCCAUUAGAGGUGCGAGUGCGCGCUGGGCUAGGAAAGUGCAGGAGAUUGGAGAAGAUGAGAGCGGAAGAUUUGACGGCAAUUGCAGGAGAAGCGGUACAGGAGGUCCUAUUAGGCCCUUAUAAACCCGCGACCCCACCUCUCCCACUUCCUGUAUUCUCGGGAAGUGGGCAGGCCAUGCGGCGGACGCGGCGUUUCAGUUUACAAUGAUUAUAGGCAAUUAAUGCGGCGGAGUUUUCGUACCAAUUGAUGGUUUCCUUUUCUCAAACCAUGCAAAGAGCGGUUGUACAGUUGCCAGGCGCGGCUUUUCAUGCAUCCGUCUGACAUAUCGUCAGGAGACCCCGUCAUGUCAAUUUUAAUGGGAAAGACUUUUUCAAAAGUAAGAAGACACAUACGCCAGUGAGUCAGCAAUCCGGGGACUGCACCGACCACCGAGCACUCGACGCUCGGGGACUGGUCGCCCAGUCUAUCAGCUCGGAACUUCAGGGACUGCACCGACCACCGAGCACUCGACGCUCGGGGACUGGUCGCCCAGUUUAUCAGCUCGGAACUUCAAGGACUGCACCGACCACCGAGCACUCGACGCUCGGGGACUGGUCGCCCAGUUUAUCAGCUCGGAACUUCAAGGACUGCAUCGACCACCGAGUACUCGACGCUCGGGGACUGGUCGCCCAGUCUAUCAUCUUGGAACCUCAAGGACUGUACCGACCACCGAGUACUCGACGCUCGGGGACUGGUCGCUCAGUCUAUCGGUUCAAGGCUUUAAGGCACGUACCGACCACCGAGCGUGAUAUGCUCGGAGACUGGUCAAUUAGUCUAUUCAAUCGCAGACGAGCAUGAUAUGCUCGGGGACUGGUAAAAUCAAUUUUUUAGACCUUGCUACAAGGCUCAUACUUCGCCUUCCAGCAAGCUCGGGGACUACAUCGGUACGAUGCAUCUUGCGAUGCAUCUCAGUCUCAAAACUACUUUGGGGAAUUUUCUUUUGACCCUGGCACCACGUGCCUACGUCACCUACUACCAGGCUCGGGGACUAAGUGGGCACACUUCACCUUGCGGUGAAUAUGCUUGCUUUUUAAAAGACUAUACUUUUUAGAAAAGUAAAGUGGGCACACUUCACCAAGAAAGAAAUUUUUUUUAAUCAAGAGCACCAUGCAUUCUUCGAACAACCUGCUUCUUCGAUGUCAAUGUUGAUCAACUGUCUUUUGAGUUGGUCAAAAUACCGUUGCAACUGUUCGGGCGACUUUCCUGCUUAUUGAAGACGUCAAGCCUCACUGAUCGAAGAAGCUCAAGACGGCGUGUUACAUCACAAUACAUGGUGCUCGGGGACUAGCUGUGGGGGUACAAACCCCUAUACCCUUACGGCUAGACUUGGGCCAGGAGGCUUGGCCCAUUACGAGACGAGUUCAAGGCUUGAUCCGACAACCUGGAGUUUCGCGCAAGGAAACAAGAUGUGGAGAUCAAGCAGGAUUCUAGUCGGUUAGAAUAGGAAUUGAUAUCGAAUUAUCCAUGGCAAUUGUAACCGACUAGGAUUAGUUUCCAGAUCUGUAACCCUGCCCUCCGGACUAUAUAAGGAGGGGCAAGGGACCCCCCUAGGACACAUCAUAAUCUCUCAACACAAUCCAAUACAACCCGACGCAGGACGUAGGUAUUACGCCAACUCGGCGGCCGAACCUGGAUAAAAAGCUUGUCCGUGUCCUGCGUCACCAUCGAGUUCGUAGUUUGCGCACCGUCUACCGAUAAACUACUACCGUGGGUAUACCCCAAGGUAGACUGCCGACCAGCUUUCGUCGACAUUUGGGGACGGAGGGAGUACUGUUGAGGAAGUCCAUGUACUCACACUAGAAGCAUCAACUCGUGGAUUCCCAUACCAAAUACUGUAUACGUACUGACGCCGCCACAUUUUUUCCAAACCAAAACGUGAAUUGGGACGAAAGAGGCUGGCUGUCCCGGCUGUGUCCGGGUAGGAUUCCGGGCAGAUGAAAUUAACCUGCCGAUAGAUUCCCAGCUAGAGUUAGGCCUUGUUUAGUUUACAAAAUUUUGGUUUUUUUGCUACUGUAGCAUUUUCGUUUUUAUUUGACAAAGAUUGUCCAAUCACGGUGUAAUUAGGCUCAAAAGAUUCAUCUCACAAAUUUCAGAUAAACUGUGUAAUUAGUUUUUAUUUUUGUCUUUAUUUAAUGCUCCAUGCAUGCGACCAAAGAUUCGAUGUGAUUGGAAAUCUUUAAAAUUUUUGCGAACUAAACAAGGCCUUAGAAUUCGACAUGGAACCAUGCAUGCAUCCUUGGAGCACUCAUAUAGGAGUACUCUCCUUUUGCAAUGCAAUAACGAAACACGGCGGCGCAAGAUCCAUCAUGCUCAGCGCCACCAAGAGCAACAGCGUGGAGGAGGAGGAGGCGGCGGCGGCGGCAGUGAUUCAGGUUGCGGAGGAAGAAGAGGGGGAGGAGGCAUAUGUUGGUGCGGCGGCGCAGGACGCGGAUGCCGUAGCCGAUGUGGAGGAGGCCGACGGCGUCGCCGCCGCCGCCGACGAUCCGACGGUGAUGAGUUGGACGGAGUACGUGGUGGCCUACAAGAGGCUAUCCGAGUCCGAGAUCAACUACUUCCUGUCGCGGCCACGGAAGCCCUUCGAGUCCACGCCUCUGUACAAGGACAUGGUCGCCGACAGCUCCACGACCAAGGAAGACCUCGAGCGCGAGGCCGCGGACCACGAGUACGCCGAGGACGCCUUAUCCGAGACGCAGGGAAGGGUGCGCGGGGAGUACGCGGACAAGGGGUUCGUCGCGGUGGACGACGACAUGAUCGCCGAGAGGCUCGAAUUGGAGCAGCAUUUCAAGGAAACCUGGGCGGCGAUGUUCGAUGAGCUUGGUCUGGAUCACUCUAUGUUCGCCGAAGAGUGAGUCGAGUCACCAAGAUGAUAACUUCCUCAACAGCAACAGCGAACACAAGGCAGAUGUGGAGGUUUCUAUGUAAUCUAUCUACCCAGUUGGGGUGAUUAACUGAUUACAGACUAUCUAUCUUUAUUUGUCUGCUAUGGAUGGGAUUGUCUUUUUUUUUCUUGUUCAGUGUCCAAAAUUCUCUGCUAGGAGAUCCUGAACUGUAUUACGCUGUUUGAACCCUCAGUGCAAAUGCGCAUGUCUGAAUGUGUUUGGUUAGCAAUUUAAUUUUAGCAGUAAUCGUUGAUUCCUUAGGCUUCUAUAGACUGUUUUAGGGAGAUACUAUUUCGAGUCAUUGUUUGCAUAUAUAUAAAUCGCUAUCAGAUUGACACCUAUGUUGUGGAGGCCACGAAUUCAAUCCCAUAGUACAUAUAUUCUGUCAUUUGUUGAGGGUACAAAUAUAUGAUAAAAAUUCCCACGCAACAAUGUUUUAUUCCAAACCCAAAACAGAACAUGAAAUGAAAGGUGCAUGAAAACAGAAGUGUAGCUGACAACUUGUCUUUUUCCAUGGUGCACUUGUUUUGUUCAUCCUUUGAAUAGCUCCUGCAGCAUCUUCUCCAGCUCCUGAGGAGUGAUCCUAUUGUUAUCCUCCAAGUAUUCCGUAAAGCCUGGAACGACUCUCUCGAUGAUAGCUUGACGCAGCCUUUCCCUCAGCUCAGGGCCCGGGACUUUCUGGAGCUUUUGCGCAGCGUAGGUCGACUGAAACAAAUUCAGCCACGACGUGCGGGCAAAAAAAAAAGGACAAGGUGAGCACGACGUUCUGUUGCUCUCACAACAAAUCAGGCAACACUACUUUCUACCAUAAGGCCUUGUUUAGUUCACCCUAAAAACCAAAAAGUUUUCAAGAUUCCCCGUCACAUCGAAUCUUAUAGCACAUGCAUGAAACAUUAAAUAUAGACAAAAACAAAAACUAAUUACACAGUUUAGCUGUAAAUCACAAAAUGAAUCUUUUGAUCCUAGUUAGUCUAUGAUUAGAUAAUAUUUAUCACAAACAAACGAAAGUGCUACAGUACCGAAAUUUUUUCACCUUUCGGAACUAAACAAGGCCUAAGUCAGUUUCUCGUGAAGCAACAGAACGUGGGCGAGUCUCUCGUGAAGCAACAGAACGUGGGAUUGUGCAGGCAUUUCAGUACUGGUACCUGUCGAUUCUGUUCUGAGGCGGCGGAAACAGCAUGGCGCACAUCUAGUAGCAGUGCCCGGACCUUGUCAGCUGCGGCCAACAUACUGCUGCUAGAGAAAACAUGCUGAUGUUGGCACCACCAGCAUUCAGAGGAUCGAGAGCAGCAAUGGGGUCAACAAAGUUGAGCAUCUUCAGCAAGGUUGCCUCGACAAACUGUGCAAAUUCAGAAGCUGGCGCAGCUGGUGGAUCAUCGUCGCCGUGAAGUCCACUCAAGCAUUUCCAUACGGAUGUGCUGAUCGCCUGCAGAGCCAGGAUCUCAUUUUCUUUGGCCUUGUUUAGUUCGGAACUGUAUCACUUUCGUUUUUAUUUGAUAAAUAUUAUCCAAUUAUGAAAUAACUAGGCUUAAAAGAUUCAUCUCGUAAUUUACAGGUAAACUGUACAAUUAGUUUUUAUUUUUAUCUAUAUUUAAUACUACAUACAUGUGCCGUAAGAUUCGAUGUAACGGAAAAUCUUGAAAAGAUUUUGGUUUUUAGGGCGAACAAGGCCUUUGUCUCCUUUUACGUUUGUUGAAGAUGUUUCUUUUCACCCUGCUCCCCUACCUUCCUUUUGUAAUCUAUUUGUAAUGUUUUCUCUUAAAUAAAAUUCCAGUAGAGGCCUUGCGCCUCUCCUGUUACCUCAAAAAAGGAUCCAACUCUGCAUCUCUCGCGAGAGCAAGCCCCUCUGCACGGACGCGUCAAGCUCUGCAAGACGGAGAAGCCAGGCGACGCGCAGCUCCCAGAGCCACCUGUCCGGGGCAGUGGCGUUGCCGUCGGCACUUCCUUCCUCCUGCCCUGUGCGGCUGCCUGUUAGCAGCUAUUUCAGCUCCUGCUGAUCUGCAUUGCUGAGACUGAGGUACUGUUGGAUGGCUGAGAGCUGCUGGGGCCACCAUUUCACAUCUCGCUUAUCACCAAAAAAAAAAGGAACCACCAAAAGUAAAUAAAAAAAAGACCAACCGAUAACACAAAUGAGAAUACACGGCAAAUAAAUAACAUUGUUGAACACACACAAGACUUAAGAACACAGAAACAUGACGAAUCAAGAAACUAUUAUUCCCAAAGACCAGCUCAUCUAUGCAACCAAACCAGCACAGCAAAAUUGCAACCCCACUGUUUAUAUUCUUCACAAGCAAAAAACUAAACUCAGGUCCCAUAUUAGUGAAUUUGUUACAGGAUGGUAGCAGAAAUGGAAACACAAAACAUGUUCAGACCCAGCAUGGAGCGGGCGUCCAGAGGCACCAUUCACAUUUAUUCUCAGCAUAGACAAGCAGCGGGAUGGACAGCGACCAAGGCCAUUGGGAUGCUAUGGAAAGCAGAAAAAUCUCUACUGGGUCUUGAACAUGUGGCGGAUCAGGUCGACAACACGGUUGCUGUAGCCCCACUCGUUGUCGUACCACGAGACAAGCUUGAUGAAGUUGUCGUUCAGGGCAAUACCAGCCUUGGCAUCGAAGAUGCUCGACCUAAGUGGGAAGCACCAAAGUGACAAAUGAAUACGGAGAUUACACAAACAGAUGAAUCAGAGGACACCAUCAGAAUUCGACAUAACAGUGUGCCAUAAUAAUCAGUUAUGUUGCCUCCCAAUUGGUACAAAGCAAAGGCAUACCUGCUGUCACCAACGAAGUCGGUGGAAACCAAAUCCUCCUCCACAUAGCCCAUGAUACCCUUGAGUGGUCCCUCAGAAGCAGCCCUGUAAAGCAAUAGCAAUUAAGUAAAUGUUGCCAUCAAUCCUUACCAAAAAAGAUGGAUAAUAAACUACUAUAAGUUCAAGAUAGAUGCAGGAAACAUAAAAAGUGAACAUCGAAUGUGAUAGUAAGAGAUAAUUCCAACAAGGAGUGAUACUACAUUCAUAUGCAUUGGUUAAAAAAGAACAAUGCACUCACAUUCACUGAAUAUUAAAAAAAUAAAUGGACUAAUCACUUACUUAAUAGCUUUCUUGAUAUCCCCAUAGGAGGCACCCUUCUCGAUUCGGACAGUGAGGUCAACAACUGACACAUCCACGGUGGGAACCCGGAAGGACAUACCAGUGAGCUUGCCAUUCAAAUCAGGAAGAACCUUACCAACAGCCUGCAAUUCAUACCAAAAGUCAAUAUACAGCAUUCCAUCUAUAAUCAUCAGAAUAGAAUGGAUGUCGACUUUAAACUAGAAAAAUGAGGUGAACAACAACCCAAACUAAAGAGGAAGUAUAGGUUCAGUUAGAACUAAAAUGGCAAUCAACCAGGCCUGUUAAUGCUUAAUGCUCAUUUAGCUGUGUGUAUAUGCCCAUAUGGCUAUGUAAAUUAGCUAUAUAAUAACUCAUGCAGCAACAGGCAGCUACAUAAAAUGCACAUACAUUGGCAUUAAAAAUUUAUUCAUGAAGCUACAUGAAACCAAAACACAGCAAAACAAUAAUUUAGUACAAUCAGCAGGCCAAGUCAGUGUGAAAAAAUGACCAAUACUUACAAAAAGAAAAUUAUAUUAGCUCACUCCAUCCAACAUUGUGAAUUACUGAAUUUAUUAUAUACCUUGGCAGCUCCAGUGCUGCUGGGGAUGAUGUUAAAGCUAGCAGCCCUGCCACCUCUCCAGUCCUUGGCUGAGGGUCCAUCAACAGUCUUCUGGGUGGCUGACAGAUAAGUACCACACAGUCAUUAUACAGCCAUCUAAAUGUAUCUUCUCAAUAAUACUAAGAGGGGAGAUAGCUCGACAGCCAAAGAAAACUUACCAGUGAUGGCAUGAACAGUUGUCAUCAGACCCUCGAUGAUACCAAAGUUGUCAUGGAUGACCUAAUUAAUGGCAUUAGACACCAUUAGUAAAUCAAACUGCAUCAGAAGAGCAGACAACUAAAAAGAGCACCCAAAUAAGAGGCGGGAAAACACACCUUGGCAAGGGGAGCCAGGCAGUUUGUUGUGCAGCUAGCAUUGGAAACAAUGUUAAUAUCUGAGGUGUACUUGUCCUCGUUGACACCAACAACGAACAUGGGCGCAUCUUUGCUUGGGGCAGAGAUAACAACUUUCUUGGCACCACCCUAUAUAAUAAUUCAAAAAAAGGAAAAUACAGCUAUCAGCAACAUCCAAAUUAACAGGGAAAUUUACAAGGAUCAAGGCAAUCUGCCAAGAAAGCAUAGUACAUGGGUGUAUUCCUAGUCACGACACUAAAUCAUCCUGUCUGUCAAUUUCUAGAUUCUCUAUAAAGACUCCAGUAACUCUUAUAUAACAAAACUAACAUUAGGCAACUACUACGAAAAACCAAGACAUCGAGUUGUUACAGCUUAUCAGAAGCAUAGAACCAAUUGAAUUUACUAAAGGUUAGUGUACUAGUAAUCCCAGCUCUGCCUGGUUGCAGAUUGUGAGUUUGCCAGCUGUACUAAUAAGAAAGUUUUCUGGUGAAAAAUAGGACACAAUGUGCUAAGCCCAAACACUAGAUAGCCAUCACUCAAUUUGUCCACCGCAUGUAAAUGAUCAAACAAAUGCUUAUAGUCAGGAAUAAUGAUACGCAAACAACCUGCAAACAUUCUGAAACAGCCAUAGGAUCAUGAAGCAGCAAUUAUACCUUCAAGUGAGCCGCAGCCUUAUCCUUGUCAGUGAAGACACCAGUGGACUCCACGACAUAGUCAGCACCAGCCUCGCCCCACGGGAUCUCCUCAGGGUUCCUGUAGAAUUGCAGCAGUUGAAACAUUAGCUCACAGCUUGAAGACAAACUCAAACCCAUCCAUGAUAGAAGCAGGAGAGGGUAGUUAGUACCUGAUGCCAAAGACGGUGACCGGCUUCUGACCGAAGAGAAGGGUCUUGGAGUCCUUGAGGGUGAUGUCACUGUGCUUCCAGUGGCCGUGCACCGUGUCAUACUUGAACAUGUAGGUCUACGCAAGAUGGGGAGCAGAUAAACCAUGAGCACGGCACACAGAUUUCAAAAUCCAGAAACUGAAGUAAGCACCAAAUCCACAACACCUCAAGCUGAUACUGAUACUGAUACUGACAGUAUAAUAUAUUGUAGUAGAGCAACAGAGCCAGUAGAACCCCCAGAUCUACGGAGAGACCCAGUACAGAAUUGAAGUCAAACGACUCCGAACGCCACGAUUAACUGAAUCGAGCAUGCUUAGCUGACGGAUCGGUGCUAAACCCACCCUAAACCUUCUAAACCACCAGAUCUAUCAUGUGGCACGGAACAAACGCAACAGAUCGAGGCGCGUACCAUGUAGUCCGUGGUGAUGAAGGGGUCGUUGACGGCGACCAGCUCGACAUCCUCGCUCUGAAGCGCGACCCUGGCCACGAGCCUGCCGAUCCUUCCGAAACCUGAGCGAAACCACACACACGCAGACGCAGGGAGAACCAGUCAGAAGACUUCCAGACCCAACAAACCGAGCAGGAAGAACUAGUUUGGGGUAUAAACUCACCGUUGAUUCCGAUCUUAAUCUUGCCUGCAUCCAGAAAUCCAUCCAGGAAAAAUAAAAUAAAAAAGUCAGCAAACCCCCUUUGGUCAGAUCUGAGCACGGAGCAGGAGGGAACAGCAGCAACUAGACUGAGAAACCCAGAAACCCGACGCGGCAGGGAGAGAGGAAGUACCCAUGGCGAGUUGAAGAACGAGGACGACGGAGAUAGGAGAUGCUCGAGAUGAAGGAAGCGGAUAUGGGUGGUGGAGAGGGUUUUAGCCCUUGUGUCCUUUUAAAGCCGACGAUACACGAGAGAGAUGAGAAAAAGCAGAUUUAUUGCUAUAAUUGUAAGUAAAUAAAUAAAUAAAGGAGAGUGAGCGAAAUGCAACUAGAGAAAGUGAUCUGAAGAAAGAUGAUGAGGUGCGGGGGUGACCUGUCCGUCCGCCUUUCUCUAGAAGGCGCAGGCAAGGUGAGGUGUCGUCGAUGACGUGUAGGCCCAGUCAUUGCUAUGGCCCACGUGUCAUUGAAAGCGAUGGCCGCUACAGCGGGUGCUUUUGGCUGCUUGGUGUUGUCCGCGCGUGGUUUGUGACGCCAGAAGUAGAAAGGCAUAUUCCCCGCUUCCUUUCUUGGGGAACAAUGCCGGCAAAGAAUUGUAACUGCUAUUUCAGCUUUUUUAGUAGUGUGUUUAGAAAUUUAGCUAAUAAAGUGAUUAAAAUUUGGCUAGCUAAAAUUUAGCAAAGAGAACCAAACAAAUUCUUAUAUUUAAAAAGAAAAAAAAAAAGAAAUCGAAGGCCUUGUUUAGUUACAAAAAUUUUGCAAAAUGACUAAAAUUUAGCUUGCUAAAAUUUAGCAAGGAGAACCAAACAAACCCUUAUAUUUAAAAAGAAAAAAGAAAAGAAAUCCAAAGCCUUGUUUAUUUAUAAAAAUUUUGAAAAAUGAACACUGUAGCAUUUUCGUUUGUAUUUGAUAAAUAUUGUUCAUUCAUGAAUUAACUAAGUUCAAAAGAUUCAUCUCAUAAAUUAUAGAUAAUUGUACAAUUAGCUAUUUUUUUAUUUUUAACGUGGCUUUAUUUGGCUCUAGCUUUUUCUAUGAUGCACCGAAGAAAUAGAGCCGAUGAAAUGGAAGGAGCCGAGAACAAAUAAAAUGGCUCGUUGCUAUAAUGGAGUUACAGAAUACAGAGGAGCCGAAGUUAGAUAUAGCUCUAGCCAAACACAAAGCCUUGAAAUGUGUCAAUAUUUACAUUCGUAUUUGGGGGAAUGAGAACCGAAUUAAGAUUGAAGAAAUACGGGAUAUUUGCAGUGGUGAGGAACAGAAGAGGUUACUAACGAGUUUGUGUGCCCACGAUGAAAUAGCGGCUCCUGCAAGAGUUUGGGAAAGAGGCUUGUGAUACCCGUUUUACGUGAGUUAAAAGUAAGACUAAGAGCUUGUUUAGUUCCUCUUGCUAAAUUUUAGUUAGUUAAAACUAUUUUAGUUAAUCUUAGGUGACUAAUAAGAUUAAACUAUUUUAAUUUCUUUUUAAUCAGUAUUUGGCUACUAAAAUGACUAAAGGGAAACCAAAUAGACCUUAACUAAACAUCUAGACAACUAAACAAUUCAACCUUGCAUUUCAUGGAUCAGGCCUUGUUUACUUCCCAAAAAUUUUUGCAAAAUUUUUCAGAUUUCCCGUCACAUCGAAUCUUUAGACAUGUGCAUGGAGUAUUAAAUAUAGACAAAAAUAAAAACUAAUUGUAUAGUUUGGUCGAAAUUGACGAGACGAAUCUUUUGAGCCUAGUUAGUGCAUGAUUGGACAAUAUUUGUCAAAUACAAACGAAAGUGCUACAGUACCUGUUUUGCAAAUUUUUUUGGAACUAAACAAGGCCUCAAUCAUGCGAGCUGAUCUACAGCCAACAAAUCACAGUGUGAGACGGUGAGGUGGUGGAGCCGCGCUUUUGCUCGUCCGUUAUAGAAUCAUCUUUUUGUUAGGUAAGGUAACAACAAGCUUGCAUUGCAGUCUUAUUCAGCAGGGCUCGUACCGUUUCUAUAGCUAUUAGCUAAACCAUUGGACUUGUAGCACGGAGUGUAAAGCUACAUUUUAGGCCUUGUUUAGUUUACCCAAAAAAACUAAAAACUUUUUAAGAUUUCUCGUCACAUUUUGCGGCACAUACAUGGAAUAUUAAAUAUAAAUGAAAACAAAACUAAUUGCACAUUUUGUCUAUAAAUCGCGAGACGAAUCUUUUAAGCCUAGUUACUUCAUAAUUAGACAAUGUUUAUCAAAUAAAAACGAAAGUGCUACAAUGUGAAAAUCCAAAAACUUUUUGGAUUUAAACAAGACCUUAGUACUGUGGGUGCUCUUACACGUUAGAGACAGAUCACUCGUGUUCUUCCCUUUGCCAAGUUGCCAAGAUCCUUUUUCGGAGAUAGAAGCACCCUCAUGCGUAAUGAUUGUCGCAAUUAGUUAUUUUUUAUCUAUAUUUAAUGUUUCAUGCAUGUGCUGUAAAAUUUAAUGUUAUAAAAAAACUUAUUUUUUUUUAAUUUUAGGUGAAACUAAACAAGGCUCAAGCUGCCAAGGCUUUUUUUCGGAGAUCAGGAGCACUCCUAUGUAACGACGGCGACAGUCCACGUGAAAACCACGUCGGGCCAGGCGCGCGUGGUGCGCCCCCGGGGCAUCCCGUGCUUUGUCGACCGCCAGCCAGGCAGUGGCGGAUCUAGAAUUUUAAUCAUGAGGGUACGAACGAAAACGAUAUAGUUCAUCGAUAUGAACAUAACAUAAUUAGAUCACUAAACGGUAAUAAAAUAGUUGUGAAUAUAGAGUGUUAAGGUUGUUAUAUAAGCUGAGUAGACUAGCAAUUAUGUAUAACAAUGUAUUAUACAUAUAUAUAUUAUUAAAAAGUAUACAUAUUAAAUGUUUUUCAAAAAAAUUUGGGGGGACAGCUGUCCCCCCAUGCUACUACUCUAGAACCGCCACUGCAGCCAGGGAGCAACAGCUUAUCCAAUUAUGGACUAGCUAGAAUUAAAAAAAAAUUAUCUCGCGAUUUCUAGACAAAUUGUAUAAUUAUUUUUUUAUUUUUUUUACUAUACUUAAUACCCUAUGCAUAUAUCGUAAGAUUUAAUAUGACAAAAAUCUUUUAAGUUUUUAGUUUUUAGGGUCAGGGCCUGUUUAGUUUCUAUUGCUAAACUUAAGCUAACUAAAAUUUAAUCACUUUAGUAGCUAAAAUUUUAAAUACACUAACUAAAAAGAAACUAAAAUAAUUUUAGUACUAUUAGUCACCAAGAGUAGCUAAAAUAAUUUUAGCUAGAUAAAAUUUAGCAAAGCCCCAAACUGGCCUUGUUUAGUUGCAAAAUAUUUUGCAAAAUAUGAAUAGUAUCAAUUUCGUUUGUAUUUGAUAAAUAUUGUCCAAUCAUGGACUAACUAGGCUCAAAAGAUUCGUCUCGUCAAUUUCGACCAAACUGUGUAAUUAUUUUUUAUUUUUAUCUAUAUUUAAUACUUCAUACAUACGUAUAAAGAUUUGAUGUGACGGAGAAUCUGAAAAAUUUUAAAAAAUUUUCUCGGAACUAAACAAGGCCUAAACACGGCCCGAAAAAACGAGAUGUGCCCGUUGGUCCUCGGCUUCAGAUUUCCGAUAAACGUUGGCCACUUGACCCCUUUUGUACUGGAUGCUUCUUCCCUUCCUCGGCUGGCGGCUGCACCCAACUCGCAAGUCGCAAGUGGCGAAUGAAAGCAGCAGCCGCCCCGCACGGCCUGUGUCGACGACCGUACCCCGAGUUUGGAAAACGUCCACGUCGUGGCUCGUCAGAGGCUUCAAAUCCUGUCGACGGCAGCAGCUGCGGCGGCUCUCGCGCUCGCCGCCGGCCGGAUUUGGAUUGCCUCACGCAGGCGGUGGCAUCCAGACAACCGGGGCGCGGGCCCCCAUGCAGUUCACGUUUGCGAUCCCGGCAUUCCCUUUCCCAGCAAGCUCACGAGGCGCUGAUUGAACUUUAUAUAAAAAUUCCUGUUUACAACAAUGCGCUAUUAAUAUUCCGAGAGUGAGAGAUCAAAAUUCUAUAUAUGGUGUUAUUUGUGCAGCGCUCUGUUUUCAACAAUGCGCUGUUCAUUCUUCAAUGAAAGAUCUAGUAGUAAUUAAGCUUACAUGAAUUGGCCUUUGCUCAGACUUGCUGCUAGAAAACAAUGAUAAAGUUCUGGUAAGGUAAACAUUUUUAGUAUAAUUGCUUGGUUAUUAAAAUAUUUUUACAAUGGUUGGAGAGACGAUGAAAAGUGAUUCAUGUGUCUAUAGUCGGUAGAAUGAAAGCGAUUGGAGCAAGACAAUGGGAAGUGAUAGGUGUGUCUAUAAUAAGUGGACCAUAAACGUCAUUAGAACUCUAAAUAUAGAAAUGGUAAUUUCUUUUUUCAUAUUUCUGUUUUUAAUGAAAGAUAAAAGGGUAAAUUUAUAAUUAUAAAAAUAAUAUUUUAAAUAGUAUAGUUAAGGUGUAUGAUUCACAUACUAUAGUUAGUUAAAAAAUCUUCUUUUAAGUUUUUUAAAAUCUUCUUAGGGUUCCACCCAUCGGCGUCCACUAGUGCAUGCUAUAUGAAGCCGUCGUCGCCGAUGAUAGGGAUUAAAGUUUAAGAGAAGCUUGUAAAAAGAACCACCAAAAGUAAAUAAAAAGACCAACUGAUAACAUAAAUGAGAAUACACGGCGAAUAACAUUGAACACACGAAGGACUUAAGAACACAGAAACAUGACGAAUCAAGAAACUAUUAUUCCCAAAGACCAGCUCAUCUAUGCAACCAAACCAGCACAGCAAAAUUGCAACCCCACUGUUUAUAUUCUUCACAAGCAAAAAACUAAACUCAGGUCCCAUAUUAGUGAAUUUGUUACAGGAUGGUAGCAGAAAUGGAAACACAAAACAUGUUCAGACCCAGCAUGGAGCGGGCGUCCAGAGGCACCAUUCACAUUUAUUCUCAGCAUAGACAAGCAGCGGGAUGGACAGCGACCAAGGCCAUUGGGAUGCUAUGGAAAGCAGAAAAAUCUCUACUGGGUCUUGAACAUGUGGCGGAUCAGGUCGACAACACGGUUGCUGUAGCCCCACUCGUUGUCGUACCACGAGACAAGCUUGAUGAAGUUGUCGUUCAGGGCAAUACCAGCCUUGGCAUCAAAGAUGCUCGACCUAAGUGGGAAGCAGCAAAGUGACAUGAAUACGGAGAUUACACAAACAGAUGAAUCAGAGAACACCAUCAAAAUUCAACAUAACAGUGUGCCAUAAUAAUGUUAUGUUGGCUCCUAAUAAUUGGUACAAAGCAAAGGCAUACCUGCUGUCACCAACGAAGUCUGUGGAAACCAAAUCCUCCUCCACGUAGCCCAUGAUACCCUUGAGUGGGCCCUCAGAAGCAGCCCUGUAAAGCAAUAUCAAUUAAGUAAAUGUUGCCAUCAAUCCUUACCAAAAAAGAUGGAUGGAUAAUAAACUACUAUAAGAUCAAGAUAGAUGCAGGAAACAUAAAAAGUGAACAUCAAAUGUGAUAGUAAGAGAUAAUUCCAACAAUGAGUGAUACUACAUUCAUAUGCAUUGGUUUAAAAAAGAACAAUACUCACAUUCACUGAAUAUUAAAAAAAAAUGGACUAAUCACUUAC
rnacentral:lncRNA from 1 species